rnacentral:lncRNA from 1 species
UUGAGGAAGGUAUAUGGUGGGUUUGUGCACCGACGAAAGUUGUGCGACACUAGAGAGGCUAGCAAUGGUGGAUGGUGAGAGUGCAUCUAUACCAUGGACUCACAUUAGUCAUGAAGAACUCAUAUACGUAUUGCAAAAGUUUUAUUAGUAAUCGAAAGAAAGUGCUAAACGCAUACUCCUAGGGGAAGGGUUGGUAGGUGUUAACCAACGCACGAUCCCGACCGCCACACAAAGGAUGACAAUCAAUAAAUCAAUUAUGCUCCGACUUCCUAACAUAGCGGUUCACCAUACGUGCAUGCUUCGGGAAUCACUAACCUCAACACAAGUAUUUCGAGAUUCACAAAACACUACAUAUAUGACUCUAAUAUUACUGUAUCCAUAUCUAAAAACUAAUUGUGAGGAAUCAAACUUCUCUUACUAAUCAAUGCACUUGAAUAUGAAAGUUUUUAUUAUAUCCUCUUUGGACGCCUAUCAUAUUUAGGACUAAUUUCAUAACACACGCCAAUUACCAAGUUACUUUGAGAGAGCACUCUCAAAAUGAUAUAAGUGAAGAUCAAGAGUUUUAAUAACAAAUUCACGAUGAGUGCAUGUCCCUCUCAAAAAGGUGUGCAGCAAGGAUGAUUGUGACAAAACAAAAAAGCAAAACUCCUAUGAUACAAGACGCUCCAAGCAAAAACACAUAACAUGUGGUGAAUAAAAAUAUAGCUCCAAGUAACGUUACCGAUGGAUUGAAGACGAAAGAGGGGAUGCCUUCCCGGGGCAUCCCCAAGCUUAGGGUUUUUGGUGCCCCUGAAUUUGGCUUGGGAUGACUUGAGCAUCCCCAAGCUUAGGCUCUUUCCACUCUUUAUUUCAUUGUCCAUAAGAACAUAACCCAAAACAUGAAAACUUCACAACACAAAACUUUUUAGGUACUGUAGUAAACUUAAUUUCCAUUUAGCAUAAGAAAACAAACCACCAACUUUUUAGGUAUUGUAGUAAACUUAAUUUCCAUUUAAAUUGAUGUUAUAUUACUGUAUUCUCACUUUUCCAUGGCUCCUACCCCCCGAUACUAACCAUAGUUUCAUCAAAAUAAUUAAUCAACACAAAAAAACAGAAUCUAUCAAAAACAGAACAGUCUGUGGCAAUCUGUAUAUUUGGUAUACCUCUGCUAUCCCCAAAAUUCUGAAAAAUUAUGACAAUUAGGGAAAUUUGCAUAUCAAUCAGAACCAAAAAUAAUCAACUCAAAAUCUCUUUCUGGAUAGGAAUUAUAAAUAAUUUCGUGAGCAGAAAGUUUCUGUCUUUUUUAGCAUGAUUAAACAACUAUCACCAAAACUAAUCAUAAAGGUUCUACUUGGCACAAACACUAAUUAAAACAUAAAACACACAAUCAUAAUAUAAUCAUGAUGGUGUGGACUCAACAAAACAGAACGUGAAAAGAAAAAAUAAAUUUAUUCAUUGGGUUGCCUCCCAACAAGCGCUAUCGUUUAACGCCCUUAGCUAGGCAUAAGGCAAUAGAAUCAAGUAUCGUCAUCUUUAGUGCUCAAACCAUAAGUAGGUCUCAUAAUGUAUUCAUAAGACAAACUUAUUUUAUUUCUAGGUAAGUGUUCCAUGCCCUUCUUUAAUGUAAAUUGAAAUUUAAUAUUCCCUUCCUUCAUAUCAAUAACAGCACCAAUAGUCCUAAGAAAAGGUCUACUAAGAAUAAUGGGACAUGUCGGAUUGCAAUCGAUAUCAAGCACAAUGAAAUCUACGGGCACAUAGUUCAUAUUUGCAAUAAUAAGAACAUCAUUGAUCCUUCCCAUAGGUUUCUUAAUAGUAGAAUCCGCAAUAUGCAAAUUAAGAGAGCACUUAUCAAUCUCAUUGAAACUUAGAACAUCACAUAAAGAUUUUGGAAUUGUGGAAACACUAGCACCCAAAUCACAUAAAGCAUAUCAUUCAUAAUUUUUAAUCUUGAUUAGUAUAGUAAAUUCCCACUCGUCAUGAAUUUUUCUAGGAAUAUAUAUUUCCAACUCAAGUUUCUCAUCAAGAGACUUCAUCAUAGCAUCAACGAUAUGAUUGGUAAAAGCCUUAUUCUGGCUAUAAGCACGUGGAGAGUUUAGCAUGGAUUGCAUCAAGGUAAUACAUUCAAUCAAAGAGCAACUAUCAUAAUUAAAUUCCUUGAAAUCCAAAGUACUAAUUUCAUCACUAUUCAAAGUUUUGAUAUCCUCUACUCCACUUAUAGUAUUUUUAGCAUCAAGAUAAAUAGACUCUGAAUCAUUGGGGCAUUUCUGAACCAAAGUGGAUUCACAUCUAGCCCCAUCAUAAUUAGGAUUGACAUUAGAAAACAAGGAUUCAAUUGGAGUCACACCAAACACUUUAAGAUCUUCGUGAUUCUCAUCACGAGAACACGCCCUUUUAAGCCAUUCAUGUCUAGCACAAAUUUGGGCGAUUCUUUCUUUACUCUCAUUCAUAGGAAUCAUUUCAAAGUUUCAUCCAUAUUAAUCUUGGGACGAACACAUCUCGAUUUCAAAGCUUCAAUAUCAAGAGACAUUCUAUCAACAGUCCUAGCCAAGUCAUCAAUUUUCAGCAGUUUUUCUUCUAUGGAAGCAUUGAAAAUGUUUUGCGAAGUAAUAAACUCUUUAAUAUUACUCUCAAGAUCAGAGGGUAUUUUAUUAUAAUUUCCAUGAGCGUUGUUGUAGGAAUUGCCAAAAUUAUUAGAGGGAUUACUAGGAAAAGGCCUAGGAUUAAAGUUACCUCUAUAAGCAUUGUUGUUGCCAAAAUUAUUCCUACCAAGAAAAUUAACAUCCAAAUUUUCAUUGCAAUUCUCAAUCAAGGAAGAUAAAGGCAUAUCAUUUGGAUCUAGACGAGCACUUUUACUAGCAAACAACUUCAUUAACUCAUCCAUCUUAGCACUGAAAGAGUUAAUUUCUUCUAUAGCAUGAACUUUUUUUACUAGUAGGUGACCUUUCAGUGUGCCAUUGAGAAUAAUUUGUCAUGAUAUUAUCUAGGAGUUUUGUGGCUUCUCCUAGUGUGAUUUCCAUAAAAGUUCCACCAGAGCCAGAUUCCAAGAUAUUUCUAGAAGCCAAAUUCAAACCAGCAUAGAAAAUUUGUAUAAUCAUCCAAAGACUCAGGCCAUGAGCUGGACAAUUUCUAAGCAUCAAUUUCAUUCUCUCCCAAGAUUGUGCAACAUGUUCAUGAUCUAGUUGCUUAAAAUUCAUGAUAUCUUUACGGAGAGAGAUAAUCUUAGCUGGUGGAAAAUACUUGGAAAUAAAGGCAUCUUUACACUUGUUCCAUGAAUCAACGCUAUUUUUGGGUAAAGAUGAAAACAAAGUUUUUGCUCGAUCUCGUAAUGAGAACGGAAAUAGCUUAAAUUUAAUCAUAUCAUUAUCCACAUAUUUCUUCUUUUGCAUAUCGCAUAACACAAUAAAGGUAUUGAGAUGGGAUGUGACAUCUUCACUAGGAAGGCCGUAAAAUUGCUCUUUCAUAACAAGAUUCAACAAGGCAGCAUUGAUUUCAUAUGAAUCCGCACUAGUGGCGGGAGCAAUUGAGUACUAAUAAAAUCAUUGUUAUUAGUAUUGGAGAAGUCACAUGAUUUAGUGUUUUCAUGCAUGGUGACUUAGCAAGCACACAAGCACACAAGCAAACAGAAAGCAAGUGAAAGAAAAGGGCGAAAGAAAAAGGCAAAUAUUUUUGUAAAUUUUGUUUUUUAGAAGUGGGGGAGAGGAAAAUGAGAGGCAAAUGGCAAAUAAUGUAAAUGCAAGAGAUGAGUUUGCAAUAGUUACUUGGUAGAUAUGCUUCACUUGAAUACUCCCCGGCAACGGCGCCAGAAAUUCUUCUUGCUACUUCUUUAGCUUGCGUUGUAUUUUCCUCAGUUUGAGAACCAAGGUAUCAAUCCAGUAGGAGUACCAAGAUGAGGCACCAAUGAACCUUCUCAAAAACAUACAAACUUGCAACCAACGCGAUAAAGGGGUUGUCAAUCCCUUCACGAUUACACUACUGAAGUUCAGAAAUUUGUCGUCUGCCAUGGCAGACGACAAAGGGGGGGAACCACGGAUGGCAAAGGCUUUGCCGUCGGUAAGCAGACGGCAAAGUAGACGGCAACAAAAAUCCGGUGAAGAAGUUCUUUGUCGUCUGCUUUUUUAAAGCGGAUGGCAAAGAAUCUUUGCCAUGAGGGGGCAGACGGCAAAUUAAAUGGGACGGCAGAUACACCAACGGUCCCGUUAAGUGUUAAUGGCACGCCUCCUGUCUUUGCCUUCUGCCAUCCCCCCUUUGCCAUGAGGGGGCAGAUGGCAAAGGGGGGAACCAAGCCCCUCUCUCUCCCCUCUUUGACGUCUGCCAUCCCCCCUUUGCCAUGAGGGGGCAGACGGCAAAGGGGGGAACCAAGCCCCUCUCUCUCCCCACUUUGUGGUCUUCCAUCCCCCUUUGCCAUGAGGGGGCAGACGGCAAAGGGUGGAACCAAGCCCCUCUCUCUCCUCUCUUUGCCAUCUACCAUCCCCCCUUCGCCAUGAGGGGGCAGAUGGCAAAGUGGGGAACCAACCCCUUUUUAUUUUAUUUCUUAAUAUAUCCAGCAUUUUUCACAAUAAUCAGGAUAUAUAUAUAUAUAUAUUUGACAUAAAUAAAUUUGUGUCCAUACUCAUAACCAUCUUAAAAUAACUUUAAUCCAUAGUACAUACAUAUUAUGCAAGUUCCAUCCGUACCAAACCAUAUAUUACACUCAUUCAUACAAAGUUUCAUAUAUAUCCAUAUACUACAAUAGUUUCAAUACAACCUUCCGUGAAGCCAUGGUACAAGAAAUCAUCUUCAAGCAUUCCAUCAAUAUAAUCCAAGCUUCCCGUGAAGUGAAUGUAAUCUGCAAAAAGACAAAUAAGAAAGUUAGAAGAAUAAUACUAGAUGAAGAAGUAUAUAGGUUAUUUCGGAGAGAACUAAGCUAAGUCGGAAGAAGAAGAACAACAACAUAUGAUGUUUAUGAGGUAAUCAACAACAACAACAAUAACAACAAAAAUGUGAAUAUGAAAGAGGAGAAUAAAGAGAAGGAGGAGGAGACGAAGAAGAAGAAAUCAAGAAGAAGGAGAAGAAUAAGGAUAAGGAGGAGGAGGAGGAGAAGGAGGAGAAGAAGGAGAAGGUCUAUCCUCCUUCUCCUUCUUCUCCUCCUCCUCUUCUCCUCCUUCUUCUCCUCCUCCUCUUCUCCUUAUCAUCUUCUUCUCUUCUUCUUCUUCUUCUUCUUCUUCCUUAUUUUCAUUUUUCCUAUUUCUUCUCCUCUUCUCCUCUUCUUGGAGCUAAAUUAUCUAAUUUUGUCCUUUUGGAGCUAAAUGGGCUAAUUAUGUCAUUUUAGAGGAAAACAAUCGAAGUAUAAAGUAUUCAUGAGCUAACCAAGGUUCUUAUGCCAUUUUGAUCUUAUUAUGUCAUUUUGGAGCUAAAUGGGCUAAUUAUGUGAUUGUUGGGGAAAAUAAGGUAAGGAUAAUAUGAAAGAGGAGAAGAAAGAGGAGGAUGAGGAGAAGAAUAAGAAAUCAACAAGAAGGAGAAUAGGAAGGAGAAGGAGGAGGAGGAGAAGGAGGAGAAGAAGGAGAAGGUCUUCUCCUUCUCCUUCUUCUCCUCCUCCUUCUCCUCCUCCUCCUUCUCCUUCUCUUCUUCUUCUUCUUCUUCCUUCUUUUCAUUUUUCCGAUUUCUUCUCCUCUUCUCCUCUUCUUGGAGGUAAAUUAUCUAAUUAUGUCUUUUUGUAGCUAAAUUGGAUAAUUAUGUCAUUUUUGAGCUAAAUGGGCUAAUUAUGUGAUUGUUGGAGAAAAUAAGGUAAGGAGAAUAUGAAAGAGGAGGACAAAGAGGAGGAGGAGAAGAAAAAGAAAUCAAGAAGGAGAAGAAGAAGGAGAAGGAGGAGGAGAAGGAGGAGAAGGAGAAGGAGAUGGAAAAGGUCUUCUCCUCCUUCUCCUUCUUCUCCUCGGCUCCUCCUCCUUCUCCUNNNNNNNNNNNNNNNNNNNNNNNNNNNNNNNNNNNNNNNNNNNNNNNNNNNNNNNNNNNNNNNNNNNNNNNNNNNNNNNNNNNNNNNNNNNNNNNNNNNNNNNNNNNNNNNNNNNNNNNNNNNNNNNNNNNNNNNNNNNNNNNNNNNNNNNNNNNNNNNNNNNNNNNNNNNNNNNNNNNNNNNNNNNNNNNNNNNNNNNNNNNNNNNNNNNNNNNNNNNNUCCUAUUCUUGGAGCUAAAUUUUCUAAUUAUGUCUUUUUGGAGGUAAAUGGGCUAAUUAUGUCAUUUUGUAGCUAAAUGGGCUAAUUAUGUCAUUCUUGGGGAAAAUAAAUUAAGGUGAAUAUGAAAGAGGAGAAUAAAUAGGAGGAGGAGAAGAAUAAUAAGAAAUGAAGAAGAAGGAGAAGAAAAAGGAGAAGGUGGAGGAGGAGGAGGAGGAGAAGGAGAAGAAGAUGGAAAAGGUCUUCUCCUCCUUGUCCUUCUUCUCCUACUCCUCUCCUCCUCCUUCUCCUCCUCCUCCUUCUCCUNNNNNNNNNNNNNNNNNNNNNNNNNNNNNNNNNNNNNNNNNNNNNNNNNNNNNNNNNNNNNNNNNNNNNNNNNNNNNNNNNNNNNNNNNNNNNNNNNNNNNNNNNNNNNNNNNNNNNNNNNNNNNNNNNNNNNNNNNNNNNNNNNNNNNNNNNNNNNNNNNNNNNNNNNNNNNNNNNNNNNNNNNNNNNNNNNNNNNNNNNNNNNNNNNCUUCUCCUAUUCUUGGAUCUAAAUUUUGUAAUUAUGUCUUUUUGGAGUUAAAUGGGGUAAUUAUGUCAUUUUGGAGCUAAAUGGGAAAAUUAUGUCAUUGUUGGGGAAAAUAAGGUAAGGAGAAUAUGAAAGAGGAGAAUAAAGAGGGGGAGAAGAAGAAGAAUAAGAAAUCAAGAAGAAGGAGAAGAAGAAGGAGAAGGAGAAGGAGGAGAAGAAGGAAAAUGUCUUAUCCUCCUUCUCCUUCUUGUCCUCCUCCUCUCCUCCUCCUUCACCUCCUCCUCGUCCUUCUCCUUCUCUUCUUCUUCUCUUCAUCAUCUUCUUCUUCUUGCUUCUUUUCAUUUUUCCUAUUUAUUCUCCUCUUCUCCUAUUCUUGGAGCUAAAUUUUCUAAUUAUGUCUUUUUGAGGCUAAUUGGGCUAAUUAUGUCAUUUUGGAGAUAAAUGGGGGUAAUUAUGUCAUUGUUGGGGAAAAUAAGGUAAGGAGAAUAUGAAAGAGGAGAAUAAAGAGGAUGAUGAGAAGAAGAAGAAGAAAUCAAGAAGAAGGAGAAGAAGAAGGAGAAGGAGUAGAAGGAGGAGAAGAAGGAAAAGGUCUUCUCCUCCUUCUCCUUCUCCUCCUCCUCUCCUCCUCCUCCUUCUCCUUCUCUCCUUCUUCUCUUCUUCUUCUUCUUCCUUCUUUUCAUUUUUCCUAUUUCUUCUCCUCUUAUCCUAUUCUUGGAGCUAAAUUUUCUAAUUAUGUCUUUUUGGAGCUAAAUGGGGUAAUUAUGUCAUUUUGGAGUUAAAUUAGCUAAGUAUAUAAUAUUCAUGAGCUAACCAAGGUUCUUAUGCCAUUUUGAGCUUAUUAUUUCAUUUUUUAGCUAAAUUGGUCAUUUUAAUGAGCUAACCAAGGUUCUUAUGAUGUUUUCACCUAACUAAGCUAAUUAUGUCAUUUUGUAGGAUAAUUAGCCAAUUUAGUCUUUCUUGGAUGACUCUAAGAUUUGUAGAAGAAGAGAAAGAGAAGAAGCAAGAAGAGAAGAAGAAGUAAAAGAAGAAGGAGUAGUAGGAGGAGGAGGAGGAGAAGGAGAAGGAAGAGGAGAAGAAGAAGAAAAGAAGAAGGAGAAGGAGAAGGACGAAGAAGGACGAAGAAGAAGGAGAAGGAGGAGCUCCUUCUCCUUCUUCUCCUCCUUCUCCUCCUUCUUAUCCUUCUUCGUAUCCUCUUCUUCUUCUCUUCUUCUUCUUCUUCUUCCUUCCUUUUAUUUUCCUCUUUCUUCUCCUCUUGUCCCCUUCUUUGGGCUAAAUUAGCUAAGAAUGCCUUUUUGGAGCUAAUUAUGUCAUUUCGAGGAUAAUUAUCUAAGUAUAUGUCAUGUUUUAUUAAAUAAACCAUUUUGGAGCUAACUAAGCUAAUUAUGUCAUUUAGGUGGAAGCCUAGCUAACUAUAGGUCAUUUCGGAGCUAACUCGGGUAAAAUGUGUCAUUCAUGAGCAAACUAUGCUUAUUAAGCCAUUUAGGAUUUAGCUAAGCUAAUUAAAGGCCAUUUAAUACCUAAGUUAGGGGAAUAGGUCAUCUUCGAGCUACCUAAGCCUUAUUAUGUCAUUUAGGAGAGAACUUAGCUAACUAUAGGUCAUUUUUUUAUUAAAUAGGUCAUUUUGGAACUAACUAAGCUAAUUAUGUCAUGUAGGUGGAAGCCUAGCUAACUAUAGGUUGUUUCGGAGCUCAUUUGGGUUAAAUAUGUCAUUUUGGAGCUAACUAUGCUUAUUAAGCCAUAUUGGAGCUAAAUUGGCUAAUUAUAUCAUUUAGGUGGAACCCAAGCUAAGUAUAUAAUAUUCACGAGCUAACCAAGGUUCUUAUGCCAUUUUGAGCUUAUUAUUUGAUUUUUAGCUAAAUUGGUCAUUUUAAUGAGCUAACCAAGGUUCUUAUGAUGUUUUCACCUAACUAAGCUAAUUAUGUCAUUUUGUAGGAUAAUUAGCCAAUUUAGUCUUUCUUGGAUGAGUCUAAGCUACGUCAAAGAAGAGAAAGAGAAGAAGCAAGAAGAGAAGAAAAAGUAAAAGAAUAAGGAGGAGGAGGAGGAGGAGAAGGAGAAGGAAGAGGAUAAGAAGAAGAAAAGAAGAAGGAGAACGAGAAGGAGGAAGGAGGAGGAAGAAGAAGGAGAAGGAGCUUCUUCUUCUCCUUCUCCUUCCUCUUAUCCUUCUUCUUCUCUUCUUCUUCUUCUUCCUUCCUUUGAUUUGUCCUCUUUCUUCUCGUCUUGUCCCCUUCUUCGGGUUAAUUAGAUAAGAAUGCCUUUUUGGAGCUAAUUAUGUCAUUUCGAGGAUAAUUAGCUAAGUAUAGGUCAUGUUUUAUUAAAUAGACCACUUUGGAGCUAACUAAGCUAAUUAUGUCAUUUAGGUGGAAGCCUAGCUAAUUUUUAUUAAAACACUAGAAAUAAGAUACCAUUAUCGUCAUCACGGCGGUGAAGCACAGUGGCUCUGGCUUGUUUCAACUCGAGAAGGCUGCCCUGGAGAAGACUCCACUGUAGAAGGGUCGUGCGAUGCGUUUCGGGAGAUAUUCUGCACCAAACAUCGUUUGCAAUGUGUCGUUAGCAUGAGGACACUCUUAAGAUCAUUGCACUAAAAUGAAACUCACCGUCCCCGCCAUGUUAAUGACUGGCAUCGGCGGAGGGACUUGGCCGGUCUUCUCGCACAUAGACUGUACAUUUGGUUUCGACAAGUCAAACUUUUUAUUUAUUAAUGAAACGGACAUUAAAAUGCAAGAUUUGAAAUAACAUGAAGAAGAAACUUACCACGAAGAGCUCGUAUAUGGCCCUGUUAGACGCAUCAUUCUGUGCCCUCUCCGCCUACACCAAUGCAGUCGUCCUCUCCUCCAGCUCCCUCAUCUCCUUAUCCUUCUCCGCCAUAGCCGCCUGAAUUGCCUCUCUCUCUUUCUGAAUAGGAGCCUGCAACACAACUCAUUGUUAGCAAAGUAAUCAUAUUGGUUCCAACGCACAACAUAAUGCGGAAAGAUAGUUGAGUCCAUUAAACUAACCUCGAUGGCGAGAUCGACUGGCCGUGGAUGAGGUGUUAUCUCCGGACAGGAGCUCGCUUGGCGUGCCUUUAUCUGCCGGAGAGUGCUAGGACAACGUAUAAGGCCGUCUCCAAUGGUGAUCAAGCCAUGGGGCCUCCCGUUGCCAUCUAUCAUCACCAGCUCUGGAUCAAUAGGCCCCUUGCUCGGGUUAAAGUCCUCCCCUUUCCUCGCCUUCCCGUGAUCUCUGUACUUCACGAGCUUGUGGUGGAAUGAGAUGUUGGUGAAGUUUUCUGGAUGCUCGAGGUCAGACUCAGAGAAUGCCUUAACCUUCUUGUACGAGGCAGUAUGGGCCAUCGCAUACAGGUCGUACAUCUGUGGCACCUCCGUCUUAUUCUGACGCGCCUAAAAGAGAGAGAGAGGAAAAUUGUAUUAGUAAAGGGCUCAAGAUAGCAUUAAGAAUGAAUUGCAUGAGGCAUGAAGCAAACCACAUACCCAGUUCUCGCCAAAUUGGAUUAAGUUGACGCUCCCUUGAUGGUGUGGCACACCAACCAUUUUGCCACGCCUCUCCUUGGCGUUGUUGUGGCUGGCCUCCCACGUUUUGGAGCACCACUGAUCCACCAAGGCCUCCCAACAAUCCAUCUUAUCCACACACCAUCUCGGGGGCACCUAAGUUCAUAAAGAGAAAUUUGAGCGCGUAAGAACAAAAUCAAGGAAACUAACUACAAAGCCUUAAUAAUAUGUAAUUACCUUCAUGUAAUGCUCCUUCUCCAUCUUAGAAUCACGACACUUCGCCUUGUCCUUCCUAAUAUGCUGCGUGGCAUAGUAAUCUCGAACAACCUGCACCCGAGCCUUGUGCCGAAAGUUUUGAAGUACGCGGUGACAUUCGGUUUCGAUAAGCUUNNNNNNNNNNNNNNNNNNNNNNNNNNNNNNNNNNNNNNNNNNNNNNNNNNNNNNNNNNNNNNNNNNNNNNNNNNNNNNNNNNNNNNNNNNNNNNNNNNNNCGAUACUACUUUAGUUACUCCCACUAUGGCCAGCCUUAUUUUAAUGAGGAGUUUAGACGACAUUCGUCGAGGAGCACCCCGAGCUCCACCAGCCUCACACUCCUCGACGAAUGCCCCCACCCAUGCGCCUCCACAACUCGCUGCCCAUGACAUCUGACGACCGACGCUUCCGGCAAACUGGCCCCCGCCCUCGGACCUCGUUGGCCACACGCAUGUGCCGCUCACCUGCUCCCGGCGACACCACUGGAGAAGCAAGAGAUGGCAGAGUCGUCGUCCCGUCCAUCCUCCGGUGUCGCAAUCGCAGCAGCGCAUCCUCUAUGUUAAGCUUCCUCAAUCCCAUCGCUGGAGACGUCAAGCGUGCUCGAAUAUCGCCUCCUCCACCACCGCGAUUACAUCACUCAUCGCGCUCAACCUUGUCUCCUCGCUUUGAUCCCACUAUCGCACCCUUGAUAUGACCAUUACCGCUCGCUUGGUGAGCCUCCAGCGUCUGGGAGCCCACUAUUGCCCUGCGCACCGCCCUGCAUCACCACCACAACUCUCUGAUGCACCAUGGAUAGCUCCAUGCACCGCUUGCCUUUGCUCCCACACAGCAAGGCUGCAGCCUGCAGCUUCCUCAAGCAGAUGUGGUCGGUGUGCCAUCUGUUGGCCCAGACCGUGUCAUCAAGUACUUUCCGACGACACACGACGACUGAUGACAAUCGAUGAUGAAGCAAACCAACGCUGACGAACUCGACGAAGUUCCUUUACGUCGAGGUGUACUACACCAACGUAGCACAACUAGCAAGCUAGCAAGCUAGCUGAUCGAUUUGAAGAAACUCACGUAUGGGAAGCUAGCAGCCGUGAUGGAUUCACCUGGUUCCUACGUACGCAUAUACGAGUCGCCGGCUGCUAAUUGGGUCGCUCCAAGUCUCACGAGACAACACGCCAAGCUGGCCAAAAGGCUCGUGUCGAGCCUUAUACUUUUAUUUCUUUUGAUCUCUCUGUCUCACGGUCGCAGCUUACAAGGGGAUAGCUACCUAUAUAUAAUAGUCGGGACAUUAGAUAAGAUAACCUACACGGCUACGAAUCCUAAUCCUACCACUAUACGAUGAUUGUCCUAUGUACAAACCGGACACAAACCACACAAGUCGUGGUUACUUCCAACAAUCACCCCCCUAAAACAACGUCAUCAUGUCACAGCUUCGACGCCGAUCCUUCUUUGCAUUUCCAGAAACUUCUCCCGAUCCAAAGCCUUGGUCAGGAUGUCCGCCAACUGAUCAUCGUUGCAAUUGUAGUUGACCUCCGUCUUCUCUUCUUCCACGUAGUCCUUCAUGUAGUGAUACAUCGUAUCAAUGUACUUGCUCCAAUCAUGCCGCACUAGAUCCUCACAUAGAAAAAAUUUAGACUCGUUAUCAACAUUGAGCACCACUUAUUCCGGAUCUCGAUCCAUGAGAUCACCGUGUAGCCUUAGCCACACAUCUUGACACUCUGCUUCACUUGAAGUCGAUGUCAUCACUUUCUGCUUUCGUGAUAGCCAGCUUACUAUGCUUACACCAAAGAAACAUGCCACCUCCAAGGUACUCUUACGGUCGUCAACAAUUCCUUCCUUGUCACUAUCACUAUAGCCGAGUAGUCUCACGAUCUUCUUCUUGCUCAGCUCAAGACGAGGUUUCAUUGAAGCAUCAAUUGGAUUGCAAUCUUUCAUAUCGCAACUUUCAAGUACUUUCCUUGUGUAUCCCUCCUUGCAUAUUGAAAUCCCUUCCGGCUUUUGAUGUACCUCUGGUCCGAGGUAGCAACUCAAAACACCUAGAUCAUACAUCUUGAAAAACUCCUUCAUUUGUAGCUUGAACUUUGCAAUCACCUCUUCAUCUGCUCUAGUAAUCAAUAGAUCAUGGUCGUAGAUGCCAACUAGUAGACGAUCCCUUCCUUCACCUCUCUUAUACAUUGCAUGCUCGAGUGGGGCUUUCUCAAAUCCAAGAGAAAUCAUAGUAUGAUCAAGUUUGAUGUUCCACGUCCAAUUGUUGGCCCAGACCUUGUCGUCGAGUACUUUCCGACGACAUGCGACAACCGAUGACAAUCGACGACGAAGCAAAGCAAUGCUGACGAACUCGACAAAGUUCCUUUACGUCGAGAUGUACUACACCAACGUAGCACAGCUAGCAAGUUAGCUGAUCGAUUUGAAGAAACUCACGUAUGGGAAGCUAGCAGCCCUCAUGGAUUCACCUAGUUCCUACGUAUGCAUGUACGAGUCGCAGGCUGCUAAUUGGGUCGCUCCAAGUCUCACGAGACAACACGCCAAGCUGGCCAAAAGGCUCGUGUUGAGAUUCAAUAUAAAUAAUGGAGCGAUUCAAUAUCUACUACAAAACUAGGAUUUUCCCAUUAUUUAAAGAAGUAAAAAACUAAGAAAACAAAACCAAUGUGAAGUUCAAAUUAAAAUAACACAGAAGUUCGGAGUUUAUUAAAACCUAGGAUUUACAUGUUCAAAAAACAAAAACAAAACACAUCACCAUUUUUGGAAUUUUUAAAAUCAACACAUAAAAUGAAAAACAUUUGUUGCUAGAAGUUCAAGUGCUUGGUGAGGGAAAGUUUGAAAGUGCUCGGCUAAAGACUUCCGUUUUCGGUUGAGUAGCAGUAGUCCCCAACUAUUUGGUGCUUUUUUCUAUCAUUUAUGCUCAUACAUUUGUGUCUCCGGAAUCCUCUAUGUCGUUCUGGUGCUCGCUACCCACAUAAGCAGAGGGAGGAAUAAGUUAACCACAUGGCAGGGGAGAAGGUCAGACAUGAGGUGCAAGGCACACGGGUGUCACCAUUGGGAGUUCAAGAAGAUGGUCAUGAUUUGUGAGAAUAAGUGUUGUUGCUGGGAUGCACUAUUGCUUCUUGUGAGGCCGCAUCGAGCUAGUUUCCUCAUCUACCUGGGUAUGCGCCUGUGCCUCACCACUGAACUCCUUUGUAUAUCCAGCAAAAAUAUNNNNNNNNNNNNNNNNNNNNNNNNNNNNNNNNNNNNNNNNNNNNNNNNNNNNNNNNNNNNNNNNNNNNNNNNNNNNNNNNNNNNNNNNNNNNNNNNNNNNGAGACUCCUAGGCGGUAGGAGUUCUUCGGAGAGGAAUCAAUCCGUGUGAUUUCCCCCGGAAAAUUUUGUGAGGGUUUGGAAGCCACCUCAAAGGCUUACCACUAGUGCUUGAGAAACGCCUUCGUGGAGUUGUCUCAAAGGGAGAAUAGGGUGAGCCUUCGUGGCGUUGGUGUGCCUUCGUGGUAACAUCCAGCUCUCUAACGGUGACUAGCUUCCCUCCAAGGAAGUGAACAUCGGGAUACAUCUUCGUCUGAGUGACCUUGGUUAUCCUUAACCCUAACUCCUUACUUGUGGUUUACUUGUGUUAUUUGAGCAUACAUACAUUGCAUAUUGCUUGUGCUUAUUAUAUUGUGUUGGCCAUUCCUUGUACAAGAUUAAUCAUUCAAGCAUACCCUCUGUAUCCACACGUACAUACUUGCAACCCUUGAUAUAUCGUGUGAUAUAGUGUGAUCUAGUAUCUUGUGUUAUUUACCUACUUGUCGUGUGAUAUAGCUCAAGUAAGUUUGUGUAACUUACUUGUGCUUGUUAGUAACUGCAUUGUGUCCAUCUUGGUAGAUCGUGUUGUUGAUACACGUUGCAGUGCCUAGUGCAUUUAGGAUUUGUGCUUGACAAGUACCCUCUUAGUUUAUUUCCGCAUCAGGUUCAAGCCAAAUCUUAAGAAGUUUUUAAAUAGCCUAUUCACCCCCCUCUAGGCGUCAUCGAGGUCUUUUCAAUUGGUAUCAGAGCUAGGUCUCUCUUUAAUUAGGUUUCACGACCUAGAGAGUAUCGAUGUCGACUAUUGGAUUAGUGCACAAUGGCAUCUUUGACUUUGAUGGCACAAAUUAUACCCUAUGGAGAAUUCGUAUGCUUCAUCACUUUCGGGCCAUGGGCCCAAAUACUUUACGAAUUGUUCUUGUAGGGAUUGCCGAAAAAAAGGAUGAUGCAUCUUCAUCUACUAAUGAAAUGUAUCUUGAUUGUGAGGCCUUUCUUGCCAUUCAUCGAACCAUAAGUCCUGAAGUGUUUAAGUCUAUCUCGACUUGCAAGUCGGCUCAUGAAGUUUGGACUAAACUUGAAGAUAUAUAUGGUGGGUCCAAUCUUGAUGAAGAUGGUAUUAUGAUGAAGGAGUUGGUGCAUGAACUCUUCACUCUUUUCGAUCUUAAAGAGUCCACCACUACUUCCAUAUCCGAUUGCUUGCACACCUCAGCAUCUUCAAUCUCACAAGGUAAUGACAUGGUGAGUGAAGAAAUAUAUGUUGAUGAAAAUGUCAUAGCCUCUAUGGACACGAGCAUAUCUAGCACCACACAUAGUGUAAAUUAUUGUGCUGAUAGGUCAUGCAUUUCACCUAAAGAUUCCUUGACAAAUGUCUGUGGUGAUAUGCUUGCUUCCUCGUGUCCUCUUGAUCAAAAUAUCUUGUUUCUCCCUAGUUGCUCUAUGACUAAUCAUUUAGGGGAUAUUAAGAAAUAUGAAGUACUUUUGACUAAUGAAGAAUCUGAUUCACCAAAAGAAUCAUCAUCAACUCCUCCAGUUCACAUGUGCCUCAUGGCAAGAGGUAAUAAUGAGGUAUCAUCUUCCCUGUGCAAUAACGAUGAUAUUUGCGAUGAGGAUGAUGAUGAUGAGUUGACUGAAAAUAUCUAUGUGAUCAGUAAAAUUCUUCAUAAAGCUAAAAAUAACGCUCUUCAAAGAUUCCAAGAUGUUCUUUCUUACUUUGAAAAUUGUAAUGAUUCACUUAAUCAUGAACAAGCUAAAAGUGAACAACUUGAACAUGAACUUGAGAAGAGUCAUCAAGCAUGUAGAGACUUAAGAUCUUCAAAAGGAGAGAUUGAAGUUGCUCAUGAUAAACUUAAAAAGGAUUUUGAGGUCCUUCUCCUUGAAUGCAAUAAUGUCAAGGGAGAGCUCAUCAAAACCUCUAAGAUCUAUGAGGAGCUUCAAUCUACUCAUGAGAAGUCUCUAUUUGCUACUUACUCGUCUCAUAUUGUUGAUGAUACUUGUACAUCUAACUCUACAUCAUUUGAAGUAUCAACAUUGAAGGAGAAUGUUGAGCUACGUGCUCAACUUGAUUUACUAACUAGCAAUUAUGGGAAGUUGGAAGAAAACCAUGUAAUGCUCACAAGCUCUCAUGCCGAUCUUCUAACAUCCCAUAAUGUGCAAAAGUUAGCUUAUGAGGCUAUCAUCACCAAGGUAACAUCUAGCGAGCCUCAUGUGGACAAUGGCACUACUUCUAGUCAAAGUACUAUAUUUCCAUGUGCUAGUCCUCGUAAUUCGUCUACUCAUAAUGUUGCUACCUCGUGUGAUGAAUUACUUUCCUUGCCUUGUUGCUCUAACAUUGAAGCUUACACUUCCUCCAGUACUUGCAUUGAUACUAACCGUGCAGAGGAAAUCAAAGAGCUCAAGGCCCAAGUCACUUCUUUGAAGAAAGACUUGGAACAGUGUCAUGAAGGGAUGCCCACACUCAACAACGUCCUGUGUGAGCAAACAUCUCCGAAUGACAAAAAUGAGUUUGGAGUAAACUCAAACAAGAACAAGAGGGGCCUAGAACAAGUCAAGAAUUCGGCCAAAAUCAUUUGCUUCAAGUGCAAAGUUAAAGGGCACCAUGUUAGAUCCCUCUGAAGACGAAGUCUCAAAGUCACAAGCAACAAGGGAAGCGGUCACAAACUCAAUCACAUAUUCAACUACAAGUUGAAGGAAGGCCUCUUCCCAAUAAGACCCAAGCCAACACUCCCCAAGGUGAGAAAUCAACUGGGAAGAAAACAAAGGGUAGAUGUUGUUGUGGAUGGUGAAGGAAGGCCUCUUCCCAAUAAGACCCAAGUCACUUAAUCAUGGUGAUGUCCAUCUACGAGAGGGGAUGAGUGAUCUACAUACCCUUGUAGACCGUACAGCAGAAGCGUUAGUGAACACGAUUGAUGUAGUGGAACGUCCUCACGUCCCUCAAUCCGCCCCGCGAACUAUCCCGCGAUCAGUCCCACGAUCUAGUGCCGAACGGACGGCACCUCCGCGUUCAGCACACGUACAGCUCGACGAUGAUCUCAGCCUUCUUGAUCCAGCAAGAGAGACGGAGAGGUAGAAGAGUUCUCCGGCAGCGUGACGGCGCUCCGGAGGUUGGUGAUGAUCUCGUCUCAGCAGGGCUCCGCCCGAGCUCCGCAGAAACGCGAUCUAGAGGAAAAACCGUGGAGGUAUGUGGUCGGGCUGCCGUGGAAAAGUCGUCUCAAAUCAGCCCUAAAACCUCCAUAUAUAUAGGUGGGAGAGGGGGGGCCUUGCCUUGGGGCUCAAGGAGCCCCAAGGGGUUCGGCCGAGCCAAGGGGGGAAGGUCUCCCCCCCAAACCGAGUUGGACUUGGUUUGGUGGGUGGGAGUCCUUCCUUCCCUUCCCACCUCCUCUUUUUUUUCUCUUCUCUUUGAUUUUUCUUCCAAUGCACAUAGGGCCCUUUUGGGCUGUCCCACCAGCCCACUAAGGGCUGGUGCGCCACCCUUAAGGCCUAUGGGCUUCCCCGGGGUGGGUUACCCCCCCGGUGAACUCCCGGAACCCAUUCGUCAUUCCCGGUACAUUCCCGGUAACUCUGAAAACCUUCCGGUAAUCAAAUGAGGUCAUCCUAUAUAUCAAUCUUCGUUUCCGGACAAUUUCGGAAACCGUCGUGAUGUCCGUGAUCUCAUCCGGGACUGCGAACAACAUUCGGUAACCAACCAUAUAACUCAAAUACGCAUAAAACAACGUCGAACCUUAAGUGUGCAGACCCUGCGGGUUCGAGAACUAUGUAGACAUGACCUGAGAAACUCCUCGAUCAAUAUCCAAUAGCGGGACCUGGAUGCCCAUAUUGGAUCCUACAUAUUCUACGAAAAUCUUAUCGUUUGAACCUCAGUGCCAAGGAUUCAUAUAAUCCCAUAUGUCAUUCCCUUUGUCCUUCGGUAUGUUACUUGCCCGAGAUUCGAUCGUCAGUAUCCGCAUACCUAUUUCAAUCUCGUUUACCGGCAAGUCUCUUUACUCAUUCCGUAAUACAAGAUCCCGCAACUUACCCUAAGUUACAUUGCUUGCAAGGCUUGUGUGUGAUGUUGUAUUACCGAGUGGGCCCCGAGAUACCUCUCCGUCACACGGAGUGACAAAUCCCAGUCUUGAUCUAUACUAACUCAACGAACACCUUCGGAGAUACCUGUAGAGCAUCUUUAUAGUCACCCAGUUACGUUGUGACGUUUGAUACACACAAAGUAUUCCUCCGGUGUUAGUGAGUUAUAUGAUCUCAUGGUCAUAGGAACAAAUACUUGACACGCAGAAAACAGUAGCAACAAAAUGACACGAUCAACAUGCUACGUCUAUUAGUUUGGGUCUAGUCCAUCACGUGAUUCUCCUAAUGACGUGAUCCAGUCAUCAAGCAACAACACCUUUGUUCAUAAUCAGAAGACACUGACUAUCUUUGAUCAACUGGCUAGCCAACUAGAGGCUUGCUAGGGACAGUGUUUUGUCUAUGUAUCCACACAUGUAAAUGAGUCUUCAUUCAAUACAAUUAUAGCAUGGAUAAUAAACGAUUAUCUUGAUACAGGAAUUAUAAUAAUAACUAUAUUUAUUAUUGCCUCUAGGGCAUAAUUCCAACAGUCUCCCACUUGCACUAGAGUCAAUAAUCUAGCCCUCACAUCAUCAUGCGAAUUACAUUGUAAUAAAUCUAACACCCAUACAGUUCUGGUGUUGAUCAUGCUUUGGCCGUGGAAGAGGUUUAGUCAGCGGGUCUGCUACAUUCAGAUCUGUGCGCACUUUGCAUAUAUUUAUGUCCUCUCCUUCGACGUAGUCGCGGAUGAGGUUGAAGCGUCGUUUGAUGUGUCUAGACUUCUUGUGAAACCGUGGUUCCUUUGCUAAGGCAAUGGCACCCGUGUUGUCACAGAACAAGGUUAUUCGAUUCAGUGCGCUUGGCACCACUCCAAGAUCCGUCAUGAAGUGCUUCAUCUAGACACCCUCCUUAGCCGCCUCCGAGGCAGCCAUGUACUCCGCUUCACAUGUAGAAUCUGCUACGACGCUUUGCUUGGAACUGCACCAGCUUACCGCACCCCCAUUAAGAAUAAAUACGUAUCCGGUUUGCGACUGAGAGUCGUCCGGAUCUGUGUCAAAGCUUGCAUCGACGUAACCUUUUACGGCGAGCUCUUCGUCACCUCCAUACACGAGAAACAUCUCCUUAGUCCUUUUCAGGUACUUCAGGAUAUUCUUGAGCGCUGUCAACUGAUCCACUCCUGGAUUACUCUGGAACCUACCUGCCAUACUUAUGGCCAGGCUAACGUCCGGUCUAGUGCACAGCAUUGCAUACAUGAUAGAACCUAUGGCUGAAGCAUAGGGGACGGAGCGCAUAUGCUCUCUAUCUUCAUCAGUUGCUGGGCACUGAGUCUUACUCAAUCUCGUACCUUGUAAAACUGGCAAGAAGCCCUUCUUGGACUGUUUCAUUUUGAACCUCUUCAAAACUUUAUCAAGGUAUGUGCUUUGUGAAAGUCCUAUCAGGCGUUUUGAUCUAUCCCUAUAGAUCUUAAUGCCUAGAAUGUAAGCAGCUUCUCCUAGGUCCUUCAUAGAGAAACUUUUAUUCAAGUAAUCCUUUAUGCUUUCCAAAAACUCCAUGUUGUUUCCAAUCAGCAAUAUGUCAUCCACAUAUAAUAUUAGAAACGCCACAGAGCUCCCACUCACUUUCUUGUAAAUACAAGAUUCUCCAACCACUUGUAUAAACCCAAAUGCUUUGAUCACCUCAUCAAAACGUUUGUUCCAACUCCGAGAUGCUUGCACCAGUCCAUAAAUGGAUCGCUGGAGCGUGCACACCUUGUUAGCAUUCUUAGGAUUGACAAAACCUUCGGGUUGUAUCAUAUACAAUUCUUCCUUAAGGAAAUCGUUAAGGAACGCCGUUUUGACAUCCAUCUGCCAGAUUUCAUAAUCAAAAAAUACAGCUAUUGCUAACAUGAUUCUGACGGACUUAAGCAUCGCUACGGGUGAGAAUGUCUCAUCGUAGUCAACUCCUUGAACUUGUGAAAAACCCUUUGCCACAAGUCGAGCUUUUAUAAACGGUCACAUUGCCGUCAGCGUCCAUCUUCCUCUUAAAGAUCCAUUUGUUCUGAAUAGCCUUGCGGCCCUCAGGCAGUACCUCCAAAGUACACACUUUGUUCUCAUACAUGGAUUCUAUCUCAGACUUCAUGGCUUCUAGCCAUUUGUUGGAAUCUGGGCCCACCAUUGCUUCUUCAUAAUUUGCAGGUUCAUUGUUGUCCAACAACAUGAUUGAUAAGACGGGAUUACCGUACCACUAUGGAGCAGUACGUGGUCUCGUCGACCUGUGUGGUUCGACAGAAACUUGAACCGGAGUUUCAUGAUCAUCAUCAUUAACUUCCUCCUCAACCGGCGUCGCAACGACAGAGGUUUCCCCUUGCCCUGCGCCACCAUCCAGAGGGAUGAGAGGUUCGACAACCUCGUCAAGUUCUAUCUUCCUCCCACUCAAUCUCUCGAGAGAAACUCCUUCUCGAGAAAAGCUCCGUUUUUAGCAACAAACACUUUGCCCUCGGGUUUGAGAUAGAAGGUGUACCCAACUGUCUCUUUUGGGUAACCUAUGAAGACGCACUUUUCUGCUUUGGGUUCCAGUUUUUCAGGCUGAAGCUUUUUGACAUAAGCAUCACAUCCCCAAACCUUAAGAAACGACAACUUUGGCCUUUUGCCAUACCACAGUUCGUAUGGUGUCGUCUCAACGGAUUUUGAUGGUGCCCUAUUUAAAGUGAAUGCAGCUGUUUCUAAUGCAUAACCCCAAAACGAUAACGGCAAAUCGGUAAGAGACAUCAUGGAUCGCACCAUCUCUAAUAAAGUACGAUUACGACGUUCGGACACACCAUUACACUGUGGUGUUCCAGGCGGUGUCAACUGUGAAACAAUCCCACAUUGUCUUAAGUGAGCACCAAACUCGAAACUCAGAUAUUCACCCCCACGAUCAGACCGUAGGAACUUGAUCUUCUUGUUACGAUGAUUUUCAACUUCACUCUGAAAUUGCUUGAACUUUUCAAAUGUUUCAGACUUGUGCUUCAUCAAGUAGACAUAACCAUAUCUACUCAAAUCGUUAGUGAAGGUGAGAAAAUAACGAUAUCCGCCGCGUGCCUCCACGCUCAUCGGACCACACACAUCGGUAUGUAUGAUUUCCAACAAGUCACUUGCAUGCUCCAUUGUUCCGGAGAAUGGAGUCUUAGUCAUCUUGCCCAUGAGGCAUGGCUCGCACGUGUCAAGUGAAUCAAAGUCAAGUGACUCCAAAAGUCCAUCAGCAUGGAGUUUCUUCAUGCGCUUUACACCAAUAUGACCUAAGCGGCAGUGCCACAAAAAUAUGGCGCUAUCAUUGUUAACUCUAACUCUUUUGGUCUCAAUGUUAUGUAUGUGUGUAUCACUAUCAAGAUUCAAUAUGAACAAUCCUCUCACAUUGGGUGCAUGACCAUAAAAGAUGUUACUCAUAGAAAUAGAACAACCAUUAUUCUCUGACUUAAAAGAGUAACCGUCUCGCAAUAAACAAGAUCCAGAUAUAAUGUUCAUGCUCAACGCAGGCACUAAAUAACAAUGAUUUAAGUUCAUAACUAAUCCUGAUGGUAACUGAAGUGAAACUGUGCCGACGGCGAUUGCAUCAACCUUGGAACCAUUUCCUACGCGCAUCGUCACUUCAUCUUUCGCCAACCUUCGUCUAUUCCGCAGUUCCUGUUUCGAGUCGCAAAUAUGAGCAACAGAACCGGUAUCGAAUACCCAGGCACUACUACGAGAGCCGGUUAAGUACACAUCAAUAACUUGUAUAUCAAAUAUACCUGAUUUUUCUUUGGCCGCCUUCUUAUCUGCGAGAUACUUGGGGCAAUUGCGCUUCCAGUGACCCAUACCCUUGCAAUAGUAACACUCCGUUUCAGGCUUAGGUCCAGCUUUGGGUUUCUUCGUCGGAUUGGCAACAGGCUUGCCGCUCUUCUUUGAAUUACCCUUCUUGCCUUUGCCGUUUCUCUUGAAACUAGUGGUCUUAUUCACCAUCAACACUUGAUGCUCUUUACGGAGUUNNNNNNNNNNNNNNNNNNNNNNNNNNNNNNNNAAAUAGAACAACCAUUAUUCUCUGACUUAAAAGAGUAACCGUCUCGCAAUAAACAAGAUCCAGAUAUAAUGUUCAUGCUCAACGCAGGCACUAAAUAACAAUGAUUUAAGUUCAUAACUAAUCCUGAUGGUAACUGAAGUGAAACUGUGCCGACGGCGAUUGCAUCAACCUUGGAACCAUUUCCUACGCGCAUCGUCACUUCAUCUUUCGCCAACCUUCGUCUAUUCCGCAGUUCCUGUUUCGAGUCGCAAAUAUGAGCAACAGAACCGGUAUCGAAUACCCAGGCACUACUACGAGAGCCGGUUAAGUACACAUCAAUAACUUGUAUAUCAAAUAUACCUGAUUUUUCUUUGGCCGCCUUCUUAUCUGCGAGAUACUUGGGGCAAUUGCGCUUCCAGUGACCCAUACCCUUGCAAUAGUAACACUCCGUUUCAGGCUUAGGUCCAGCUUUGGGUUUCUUCGUCGGAUUGGCAACAGGCUUGCCGCUCUUCUUUGAAUUACCCUUCUUGCCUUUGCCGUUUCUCUUGAAACUAGUGGUCUUAUUCACCAUCAACACUUGAUGCUCUUUACGGAGUUCAGACUCUGCGACUUUCAGCAUCGCAAACAACUCGCCGGGAGACUUGUUCAUCCCUUGCAUGUUGUAGUUCAACACAAAGCCUUUAUAGCUUGGCGGUAGUGAUUGAAGGAUUCUGUCAGUGAUAGCCUCUUGCGGGAGUUCAAUCCCCAGCUCAGCUAGACGGUUUGAGUACCCAGACAUUUUGAGCACAUGUUCACUGACAGACGAGUUUUCCUCCAUCUUGGAAGCAUAGAAUUUAUCGGAGGUCUCAUACCUCUCGAUCCGGGCGUUCUUCUGAAAGAUAAACUUCAACUCCUGGAACAUCUCAAAUGCUCCAUGACGCUCAAAGCGACGUUGAAGUCCCGGUUCUAGGCCAUACAAGACUGCACAUUGAACUAUUGAGUAGUCCUCCUUACGUGCUAACCAAGCGUUCUUAACAUCCUGAUCAGCCGUAGCGGGUGAUUCAUCUCCUAGCGCAGCAUUAAGGACAUAAUCCUUCUUCCCAGCUUGUAAGAUUAGCUUAAGAUUACGAGCCCAGUCUACAAAGUUGCUUCCAUCAUCUUUCAACUUAGCUUUCUCUAGGAACGCAUUAAAAUUCAGGGUGACUGUCGCGUGAGCCAUGAUCUACAACACAAAUAUAUUCAAAGUGGACUUAGACUAUGUUCAAGAUAAUUAGAGUUUAACUUAAUCAAAUUAUUCGCUAAACUCCCACUCAAAAAGUACAUCUCUCUAGUCAUUUGAGUGGUUCAUGAUCCACUUACACUAGCUCAAGUCCGAUCAUCACGUGAGUUGAGUAUAGUUUCAGUGGUAAGCAUACCUAUGCUAAUCAUAUCAUCUAUAUGAUUCAUGAUCGACCUUUCGGUCUCAUGUGUUCCGUGGCCAUGUCUGCACAUGCUAGGCUCGUCAAGCUUAACCCGAGUGUUCCGCGUGCGCAACUGUUUUGCACCCGUUGUAUGUGAACGUUGAGUCUAUCACACCCGAUCAUCACGUCGUGUCUCGAAACGACGAACUGUAGCAACGGUGCACAGUCGGGGAGAACACAGUUUCGUCUUGAAAUUUUAGUGAGAGAUCACCUCAUAAUGCUACCGUCGUUCUAAGCAAAAUAAGGUGCAUAAAAGGAUUAACAUCACAUGCAAUUCAUAAGUGACAUGAUAUGGCCAUCAUCACGUGCUUCUUGAUCUCCAUCACCAAAGCAUCGGCACGAUCUUCUUGUCACCGGCGCCACACCAUGAUCUCUAUCAACGUGUCAUCAUCGGGGUUUUCGUGCUACUCAUGCUAUUACUACUAAAGCUACAUCCUAGCAAAAUAGUAAACGCAUCUGCAAGCACAAAUGUUAGUAUAAAGACAACCCUAUGGCUCCUGCCGGUUGCCGUACCAUCGACGUGCAAGUCGAUAUUAUCUAUUACAACAUGAUCAUCUCAUACAUCCAAUAUAUCUCAUCACAUCGUUGGCCAUAUCACAUCACAAGCAUACCCUGCAAAAACAAGUUAGACGUCCUCUAAUUUUGUUGUUGCAUGUUUUACGUGGUGACCACGGGUAUCUAGUAGGAUCGCAUCUUACUUACGCAAACACCACAACGGAGAUAUAUGAGUUGCUAUUUAACCUCAUCCAAGGACCUCCUCGGUCAAAUCCGAUUCAACUAAAGUUGGAGAAACCGACACUUGCCAGUCAUCUUUGAGCAACGGGGUUACUCGCAGCGAUGAAACCAGUCUCUCGUAAGCGUACGAGUAAUGUCGGUCCAAGCCGCUUCAAUCCAACAAUACCGCGGAAUCAAGAAAAGACUAAGGAGGGCAGCAAAACGCACAUCACCGCCCACAAAAACUUUUGUGUUCUACUCGAGAAGACAUCUAUGCAUGAACCUAGCUCAUGAUGCCACUGUUGGGGAACGUCGCAUGGGAAACAAAAAAUUUCCUACGCGCACGAGGACCUAUCAUGGUGAUGUCCAUCUACGAGAGGGGAUGAGUGAUCUACAUACCCUUGUAGACCGUACAGCAGAAGCNNNNNNNNNNNNNNNNNNNNNNNNNNNNNNNNNNNNNNNNNNNNNNNNNNNNNNNNNNNNNNNNNNNNNNNNNNNNNNNNNNNNNNNNNNNNNNNNNNNNGCAGGAGGCUGCCGCCCAGCCGGUUGUGCGCGAUGUUCACCCUCGUGAUGUUCCGGCACUCGAACAUGCCAUCCGGGACUACGCCGGACAGCGAGUUGUUGUACAGCAUGAACUGCUGGAGCGAUUGGAGCUUCUCAAACGUCGCCGGGAUUUCACCGGACAGAGCAUUGUCCGCCAAGUCGAGAACCUGGAGCUGAUGACAGUCGCCGAGCUCCGGCGGAAUCAGGCCCGACAGCUCGUUCUGCCGGAGGUGAAGGAAGAUCAGUUCGGACAGAUUCCCGAUGGACGCCGGUAUGCUCCCGUUGAACUGGUUCCCAAAGAAGUCGAUCAUCUGCAAGCUCGAGCACUUCCCGAUGGUCUCCGGUAUCUCGCCGGAGAACUGGUUCUCGUACAAGUACAGUUCCUGGAGGUUCUUCAGAUUGCCGAUGGCGUCCGGCAGCUGGCCUGUGAGCUGAUUGUGGUACAGUGCAAGGCUAGUGAGCUCAGUGAGGUUAAAGAUNAGCUGAUUGUGGUACAGUGCAAGGCUAGUGAGCUCAGUGAGGUUAAAGAUCUCCGGCGGCAGUCCGCCAGAGAGGCUGUUGUUAUUGAGCAGCAGACCCGUCAGGUUCCCGAGCUCGCCGAGCCCGGGCGGGAUGGCGCCAGAGAGGCUGUUGUUCGCCAAGUCGAGCUGCGUCAGCGCACGGCACCGCGACAGCCCGUCCGGUAUCUCCCCGGUGAGGUUGUUGGUGGAGAGCAGGAGGUGCUCGAGGCUAGUGGAUGACUCUUCUUCGUUGCUGCCGCUACACAGGUUGCCCGGAAGGCGGCCGCUGAGGUGGUUGUCGGCGAGCACAAGGAAGUUCAGCUGCGGUAGCCGGCCGAGCUCGGCGGGGAGCCCGCCAGUGAGCAUGUUACCGGACAGGUCAAUGGUGUGCACGCGAGAGAGCGCGGCGAGAGCGCGCGGCACGCUCCCAGAGAGGCGGUUGUUCAUGAGGUUGAGGUACAGGAGCUCGCCCAGAGCGCCGAGCUCCGGCGGUAUGGCGCCCUCCAAUGAAUUGUUCCCGAGGUUGAGCUUCUGGAGGUAGGAGAGCUUCCCAAGCUCCGGCGGUAUCUUGCCGGUGAGGUGAUUCCCAGCGAGAGCAAGCGCCUCGAGGCUGGCCAUGGCGCCGAUGUCCGCUGGUAUCGGCCCGGAAAGGGAGUUCUCUUGCAGGUUCAAGGCCGUGAGCGCAGCGAGCCUCCCUAGCCCCCCCGGUAUCUCUCCGGUCAGGUUGCACGACGCGAGCCCGAUCACGGUGAGGUUCCGAAGCUCCCCGAGCGCUUUGGGGAUUGGCCCCGACAAGCCAAGGUUGUCGCCGAGGCGCAGCACCUGGAGCGCGGCGAGUCUGCCCAGCGACGCGGGGAUCCCGCCGGCGAGCUGGUUGGAGUAGAGCAUGAGAAGCUGGAGCCUUUCGAGCCCCCCGAGAGCAGCCGGGAUGGGGCCGGUGAUGCGGUUGGACGACAGAUCGAUGACCUCCAGUGCGUCGAGCCGCGCGAGCGCCCCGGGAACCGGCCCGGACANNNNNNNNNNNNNNNNNNNNNNNNNNNNNNNNNNNNNNNNNNNNNNNNNNNNNNNNNNNNNNNNNNNNNNNNNNNNNNNNNNNNNNNNNNNNNNNNNNNNUGCAUAGAGAGAGCUAUAGUUGUUCCUUUCCAGCUAUUUCUGAACUUCUACGACGUGAUGCAUUUUUUCAUGUAAUAGAUUCACAACAACUAUAGGAGGGAGUAUAUUUUUACUGGAUAUACAAAGGAGUUCAGCGGUGAGGCACAAGCGCAUACCCAAGUAGAGGAGGAAACUAGCUCGAUGCGGCCUCACAAGAAGCAAUACUGCAUCCCAGCAACAACACUGAUUCUCACAAAUCAUGACCAUCUUCUUGAACUCCCAAUGGUGACACCCGUGUUCCUUGCACCUCAUGUGUGACCUUCUCCCCUGCCAUGUGGUUAACUUAUUCCUCCCUCUGUUUAUGUGGGUAGCGAGCACCAGAGCGACAUGGAGGAUUCCGGAGACACAAAUGUAUGAGCAUAAAUGAUAGAAAAAAGCAUCAAAUAGUUGGGGACUACUGCUACUCAACCGAAAACGAAAGUCUCUAGCCGAGCACUUUCAAACUUUCCCUCACCGAGCACUUGAACUUCUAGCAACAAAUGUUUUUCGUUUUAUGUGCUGGUUUUAAAAAUUCCAAAAAUGGUGAUGUGUCUUGUUUUUGUUUUUUGAACAUGUAAAUCCUAGGUUUUAAUAAACUCCGAACUUUUGUGUUAUUUUAAUUUGAACUUCACAUUGGUUUUGUUUUCUUUGUUUUUUACUUCUUUAAGUAAUGGAAAAAUCCUAGUUUUGUAAUAGAUAUUGAAUCGCUGUGUUAUUUAUAUUGAAUCUCAACACGAGCCUUUUGGCCAGCUUGGCGUGUUGUCUCGUGAGACUUGGAGCGACCCAAUUAGCAGCCGGCGACUCGUACAUGCGUACGUAGGAACCAGGUGAAUCCAUCAGGGCUGCUAGCUUCCCAUACGUGAGUUUCUUCAAACCGAUCAGUUAGCUUGCUAGCUGUGCUACGGUGGUGUAGUACAUCUCGACGUAAAGGAACUUCGUCGAGUUCAUCAGCGUUGCUUUGCUUCGUCGUUGAUUGUCAUUGGUUGUCGCGUGUCGUCGGAAAGUACUCGACGACACGGUCUGGGCCAAAAAUUGGACGUUGAACAUCAAACUUGAUCAGACUAUGAUUUCUCUUGGAUUUGAGAAACCCUACUCGAGCAUGCAAUGUACAAGAGAGGUGAAGGAAGGGAUCGUCUACUAGUUGGCAUCUACAAUGACGAUCUAUUGAUUACUAGAGCAGAUGAAGAGGUGAUUGCAAAGUUCAAGCUACAAAUGAAGGAGUUUUUCAAGAUGUAUGAUCUAGUUCUUUGGAGUUGCUACCUCGGACCAGAGGUACAUCAAAAGCCAGAAGGGAUCACACUAUGCCAGGAGGGAUACGCAAGGAAAGUACUUGAAAGCUGUGGCAUGAAAGAUUGCAAUCCAAUUGAUGCUUCAAUGAAACCUCGUCUUGAGCUGAGCAAGAAGAAGAUGGUGAGACUACUCGGCUAUAGUGAUAGUGACAAGGAAGGAAUUGUUGACGACCGUAAGAGUACCUCGGACGUGGCAUGUUUCUUUGGUGGAAGCAUAGUAUGCUGGCUAUCACGAAAGCAGAAAGUGAUGACACCGACUUCAAGUGAAGCAGAGUGUCAAGAUGUGUGGCUAAGGCUACACGAUGAUCUCAUGGAUCGAGAUCCGGAAUAAGUGGUGCUCAAUGUUAAUAAAGAGUCUAUAUUUUUUCUAUGUGAGGAUCCAGUGCGGCAUGAUUGGAGUAAGCACAUUGAUACGAUGUAUCACUACAUGAAGGACUACGUGGGAGAAGAGAAUACGGAGGUCAACUACAAUCGCAACGAUGAUCAGUUGGCGAACAUCCUGACCAAGGCUUUGGAUCGGGAGAAGUUUCUGGAUAUGCAAAGAAGGAUCGGCGUCGAAGCUGUGACAUGAUGACGUCGUGUUUAGGGGGUUGAUUGUUGGAAAUUACCACGACAUGUGUGGUCUGUGUCCGGUUCGUACACAGGACAAUCAUUCGUAGACGUGUAGGUUAUCUUAUCUAAUGUCCCGACUAUUAUAUAUAGGUAGCUAUCCCCUUGUAAGCUGCAACCGCGAGACAGAGAGAUCAAAAGCAAUAAAAGUAUAAGGCUCGACAUGAGCCUUUUGGCCAGCUUGGCGUGUUGUCUCGUGAGACUUGGAGCGACCCAAUUAGCAGUCGGCAACUCGUACAUGCGUACGUAGGAACCAGGUGAGUCCAUCAGGGCUGCUAGCUUCCCAUACGUGAGUUUCUUCAAAUCGAUCAGCUAGCUUGCUAGCUUGCUAGUUGUGCUACGUUGGUGUAGUACAUCUCAACAUAAAGGAACUUCGUCGAGUUCGUCAGCGUUGCUUUGCUUCGUCAUCGAUUGUCAUCAGUCGUCGCGUGUCGUCGGAAAGUACUCGACGACACGGUUUGGGCCAACAGAUGGCACACCGACCGCGUCUGCUUCAGGAAGCUACAGGCUGCAACCUUGUUGUGUGGGAGCAAAGGCAAGCGGUGCAUGGAGCUAUCCAUGGCGCAUCGGAGAGUUGUGGUGGUGAUGCAGGGCGGUGCGCAUGGCAGCAGUGGGCUCCCAGAGGCUGGAGGCUCACCAAGCGAGCAGUAAUGGUCAUAUCAAGGGUGCGACAGUGGGAUCAAAGCGAGGAUACAAGGUUGAUUGCGAUGAGUGAUGUAAUCGCGGUGGUGGAGGAGGCGAGUGUCGAGCACGCUUGACGUCUCCAGCGAUGGGAUUGAGGAAGCUUAACAUAGAGGACGCGUUGGUGCGAUUGCGACACCGGAGGAUGGACGGGACGACGACUCUGCCAUCUCUUGCUUCUCCAGGGGUGUCGCCGGGAGCAGGUGAGCGGCACAUGUGUGUGGCCAACGAGGUCCGAGGGCGGGGGCCAGUUUGCCGAAAGCGUCGGUCAUCGGAUGUCAUGGGCAGCGAGGUCUGGAGGCGCGUGGGUGGGGGCAUUCGUCGAGGAGUGUGAGGCUAGUGGAGUUCAGGGUGCUCCUCGAUGAAUGUCGUCUGAACUUCUCAUUAAAAUAAGGCUGGCCAUAGUGGAAGUAACUAAAGUAGUAUCAUAUACUUGGGACUAGCAAACAUGCCGAUGUGGCAGACAAUUAAAGAAGAGAGAGAGGGUUAGAGUAACAUNNNNNNNNNNNNNNNNNNNNNNNNNNNNNNNNNNNNNNNNNNNNNNNNNNNNNNNNNNNNNNNNNNNNNNNNNNNNNNNNNNNNNNNNNNNNNNNNNNNNAUACCUUGGUUCUCAAACUGAGGGAAAUACUUACCACCGCUGCGCUACAUCACCCUUUCCGCUUCGAGGGAACACCAACGCAAGGCUCCAAGGCCACGGGGGGAAUCCUUUGCAUAUUUGCCUAGGAAGUCCCUCAAGGCGUAGCCGUAGCAGAAGGAUUCCUGGUGCCGUCAACACACCUAUUUCUGGCGCCGUUGGAAGGUCUUUUGUUGCAGUAGCAGAAGUAUUUCUGGCGCCGUUGCCGGGGAAGGAGAGAUCUAUCCAAGUAGGUCUCACAAACUCAUCUCCUGCAUUUACUUUUUUUCCAGUUGCCUCUCGUUUUCCUCUCCCCCACUUCACAUUUCCAUUUUCAUUUGCCUUUCUCCUUUGUCGUUUUCUUUUACCUUUUGCCUUUUUCGUUCGCCCUUUUCUCUCGCUUGCUUUCUGUUCGCUUGUGUGCCAUGUGCCUUCAAUAUGCUUGCAUCUUCGCUUGCUGAAAAUCUAGUGAUAUGGAUCCUCAUCCACUAGCUAAUCGCUUCGAGGGUACAAAGAGUGAUCCAGGAUUGAAUCACUAAACAGCGGUCAAAGUUAUCCUUAGUAACUAGUGGACUAAGGAUUUUUUUCUCGAUUAAGGAGGUGACUAAAGAGUUCGUCGUAAAGGCAUACGUCGAUGCAAGAUUUGACACUAAUCCGAAUAACUCUGAGUAGUAAACCGGAUUCGUAUAGUGGAGCAGUCAUUUGGAAUAGUUCCAAAUGGCACGUAGUAGAAGCAUCUAUAGGAUGACAUAGAGAUUUGUAAAGCACACACGGAUCUGAAAGGUUCAGAUCCGUUGACUAAAAACCUCUCUCACAAGAAAGACAUGAUCGAGCCCCACAAUUGUAUGGGUGUUAGAUUCACUACAAUCACACACUGAUGUGAACUAGAUUAUUGACUCUAGUGCAAGUGGGAGACUGUUCGAAAUAUGCCGUAGAGGCAAUAGUAAAUUGGUUAUUAUUAUAUUUCCUUGUUCAUGAUAAUCCUUUAUUAUCCAUGCUAGAAUUGUAUUGAUUGGAAACUCAAAUACAUGUGUGGAUACGUAGACAACACAUUGUCCCUAGUGAGCCUCUAGUUGACUAGCUCGUUGAUCAAAGAUGGUCAAGGUUUCCUGGCCAUAGGAAAGUGUUGUCACUUGCUAAUGAUAUUGCAUCAUUAGGAGAAUGAUGUGAUGGACAAGACCCAAACUAUAAACGUAGUGUAUGAUCGUGUCAGUUUGUAGCUACUGUUUUCUGCAUGUCAAUGUAUUUGUUCCUAUGACCAUGAGAUCAUGCAACUCCCGGACACCGGAGGAAUACCUUGUGGGUUAUCAAACGUUGCAACAUAACUGGGUGACUAUAAAGGUGCUCUACACGUAUCUCCAAAUGUGCCUGUUGGGUUGGCAUGGAUCAAGACUGGGAUUUGUCACUUCGUGUGCGGAGGGGUAUCUCGGGGCCCACUCGGUAAUACAACAUCACAACAAGCCUUGCAAGCAAUGUGAAUAAGGAGUUAGUUACGGGAUAUUGUAUUACAGAACGUGUAAAGAGACUUGUCGGUAAAGAGGUUGAACUAGGUAUGGAGAUACCGACAAUCAAAUCCCGGGCAAGUAACAUACCGAAGGACAAAGGGAACAACAUACGGGAUUAACUGAAUCAUUGACAUAAAGGUUCAACUGAUAGAGAUCUUCAUAGAAUAUGUGGGAGCCAAUAUGGACAUCCAGGUCCCGCUAUUGGUUAUUGACCAGAGAGUGUCUCAGGUCAUGUCUGCAUAGUUCUCGAACCCGCACGGUCUGAACACUUAAGGUUCGGUGAUGUUUCGGUAUAGUUGAGUUAUGUGUGUUGGUGACUGAAGUUUUGUUCGGAAUCCCGUAUGAGAUCCCGGACGUCACGAGGAGUUCCAGAAUGGUCGGGAAACAAAGAUUGAUAUAUAGGAAGUUGGUAUUUGGAUUCCGGAAGAUUUUCGGGCAUUACCGACACUGUACCGGGAGUGACGAAUGGGUUCCGGGGGCCCACUGGGUGGGCCCACCACGCCCCAAGGGGUCCACGUGGGUUUAUUGGAUGCGCAAUAAGGCAUAAUGGGCUGACAAAGUCAUCCAAGGAAAUCCCAUGAGGAAAAAGUGGAAAAUCCAAAAGUGGUUGAGAAUUAAGGAAGGAGUCCUAAUCCAAGUGGGAUUGGAGGAGGACUCCUCCCUCCUCAACUUCGGCCGACCCAAGGGCUCCUCCCUUGUGGCGCAAGGGCUGCCCCUCCCUCCUCCUAUAUAUACUAGAGAUUUAGGGCUGUUUGAGACACAACUUUGCCACGUGUAACCCUAAACCUCUACUUUGUAGUUCUUCCUCUAGAUCGGUUUUCUGCGGAGCUCGGGCGGAACCCUACAGGAAUAGAUCACCACCACCACUGGAGCGAUGUUGUGCUACCGGGGAACUCAUCUACAUCCCCGUCUCUCUUGCUGGAUCAAGAAGGUGGAGAUCGUCAUCGAGUUGUACGUGUGCGGAACGCGGAGGUGCCGUCCGUUCGGCACUUGAUCGGGACGGAUCACGAGACGGUUCGUGGGACGGUUCAUGAGAUGGAUCGUGAAGACGUACCACUACAUCGACCGCGUUUAUUAAUGCUUCCACUUUGCGAUCUACAAGGGUAUGUGGAUCUGAUCUUCCUCUCGUAGAUGAUCAUCACCAUGAUAGGUCUUCGUGUGCGUAGGAAAUUUUUUGUUUCCCAUGCUACGUUCCUCAACACCGUCUACGGACGAUAACAGACGAUAAAAGAACGACGUCCAUCCUUGCUAUCCCGGGCUGUCGGACUGGACCCCAUCCUAGAUCGAUGAAGAGGAAGAAGAAGAAACUCCAAAUAGCACAAUCAGCGCGCUCACGUCAAAGUAACUCUUUACAUGUACCUGGAACUGGUGUUGUAGUAAUCUGCGUAGAUCAAGACUAGCAAAGCUUAAUGGGUGGGGUAUGGUUAAGUGGUGAGGCUGCACCAAGCGACUAAGCAUUUAUUUGGUGGCUAACUUACGAGUACAAGAAUAAAAGAAGGGGAUGAUCUACGCAUCUCAGACGUGAACACUGUUAAUCAAAUGAAUGAUCCUGAAUACCUACUUACGUCAGACAUAACCCCACCGUGUCCUUGAUCGGAGAAGGAGCUCACGAAAGAGACAGUCACGGUUCUGCACUCGGUUGGCAAGUUUUAAUUAAGUUAACUCCAAGUUAUCUAGAACCGGAUGUUAAACAAAGUUUUCACAUUGCCACAUAACCACGGGCAUGGCUUUUCGAAAGAUUUAACCCUGCACGGGUUCUCCAACUAGUCCAUCAGAAACUACCACACGCAACGAUGGAAUGACCUCGGCCAGGGAAACAUGUGAUCUCCUCGGGUUCCUAUUGGAAAACCUCAACCUCGAGAUAACCCAAAGCAUCCUCGGAAUCCCUCGCACAAGACGCUCUAGAAAGGUAAAACAAGUCCAGCAAGGCCGCCCGAUGUGUCGACAUCCCGAUAGGAUCCGCGUAUCUCAUUCUCAGGACACGACAGAUGAGCUAUGGUUACCACACCAAACGGCGAGUUGCCCCGGGUAGCGUUAAUAAGCUGCUCUGUUUUGGACCGGCACCAUCAACCCUGGCCCUCCCUGUAUUAUGUUGAAUUAAUCCUCGGGUUCAUGACGCCCUAUGUUUUUCAGUAUUAACAGAAUUAUUAUGUUGGGAAAAUAUAGUACCAAUGUUGGGCCUUGCCAGACGAGCUUUAUCCCAAAACGAGAAUCUAGGGGGUCCCCAUAACAACCCCAAGCAUGUUAGGAGUGCUCAUUUAUGGAACAUAACACCGGUAGCCAAAACUAAGGCGGCAAAGGUGGAAUAAAACACCAGGCUAGAAAGGCCGAGCCUUCCACCUUUUACCAAGUAUAUAGGUGUAUUAACUUAAAUAACAAUUAAUAUGGUGAUAUAACAAGGAACCCAUGUUUUCACAUGGAAGCAACUGCACCUGCAACUAGCAACUCUAACGCAUGGUUAAGCAAGCAGUAACAUAGCCAAACAGUGGUUUGCUAGGUUGUGAACAGGUUGAAGGUUUUCAUGGCAAUGUUGGGAGGCAUGUUAAACAGGUGGUAGGCAGCGAGACAUAACAAUAGAAAUGAUACAACUAGCAUGGCAAUGAUAGUAAUGAUAUCUAGGGAAAUGAUCAUCUUGCAUGAGAUCCUGCAUGGAAGAAGAAUGACUGCGUGAAGCAGACGAACCGAAGUAGUCGAACGGAUCCUCACAUUCCGACACACUUGCGGAACUCUAUCGAGACAAAGCAAACCGGAAACAAGAAUCAACACACAAUAUUCACCAGGCACAUGCACGACAUGAUGCACAACACAUAUGAUGCAUGAUCAGUUUCAAAUAUGCAAGGCAUGGCAUGACAAUCACAACAGUCAAACGCUACACAUUAAGUGAAGCUCAAUAUGCAAUGAGUUGCAUAUUGAUGAAACUGCACAUUUAAUUAUUUAGUGCGCUCCCGUUUAUUUACAUGACAAUAUUAAAUGUUGUUAACAUGGCAAGGGGUGAAGCUCAAAUUAAUCUACCUAUGUAUGCAUUUUAAAUGAGGCCGAAAAUGACAUAUAGCAUCUCCGAAAUGCCCCCGCGCGUUAAAUUUUAAUUCUGUCCAGAUUUGUCCUAAUCACAUUUUAUGUUUGUUGAACGGAAAAACCAAGUGGUUCAUGUGAUUCUACUCAUCGUUCUAGUCCAUUUACAUAUAUGGUUCACCUCCAACGGAGCUACGGUUAAUUAACUACAACCUAAACCGUUUCUAUCGUGUCGACACGCAAACCGAUGCAAACAACACACAUAACAACUCUAAAUAUACAUGAGAGUUGGAAAAUAUUAAUCUCCGUGAAAUUAUAGCUAAGUUACAUAUCUAACUUGUCGCGAUCCGACGCACGGAAUAGAAAUUACGGGGUUUGAAAAUAUGCUCUGUUCCAAAAUUAAAUAAAUUCGCAAAACUACAAAAACACUAACGGGCCGAAACUAGAUCUGGCCCAAAACAGGACAUGGGCGCAAUACAGUUAUACUACGCACAUGCGCAAAAUAGAGGGCUCAAUGGAGGCUCACCUUCGGGCCUUCAGGCCGGCUGGAGGAGAGGCUGAGGUGGGCCGAGGGACGCAGCCAGGCACUGGGCCGCUUGGCGGCGCGCGAGGCCUGCGGAUCUAGGCCCCGGAGACAGCGCGGGGCUGGGCCUGGUUGCACCGCUAGGCAUGGCCCAAGCCAGCACUCGAGCGGCGGUCAACAGGGCUCGACCAGCUCAUCUCCUACCUUCGGCAAAGGAUGAACUUGGCUGAGUUGGUGGGCACCUCCGGCGGGCAGCGACGAGGACCGGCGGGGAUGGCCAGAAUGGGCGAAGAUUCGUCGGAUCUGGGCGAGGGGGUGCCAUCCCCGACGACGGACAGGGCCAUCGGCGAGUUCCGAGCAGCAGUGGGGCAUGAUGCGGGUAGGCAGCGGCUCGGCGGGGCCUCAGCCGGCGGCGGCGCUCCGGGAUAGCUCCGGUGGCUGGCGGGCAUCUAGGAGGAGGCACGUGGAACGGAUCGGUGGCCCACAGCGGCUGGCGCAAGGAGUUGUGGGAGGCCUCGGAUACUGCUGCUGGCUUGGGGNGUGGGAGUGGCAGCUGGUUGUUGGGGGGCACGAAAAACGAGGCUAGAGUUAGGGUUUGGUCAGUUAGGAAGGGUUAGCCUUCCUUUUAUAGCCGGGGUAGCUAGGGUUUGCUAUUUGGGGUGUUUUCGGACCCUCCGAUCUCGAUUGGACGGCUCUGGUUUUGCCCUAGGGUUAGGUGGUUGUGUUAGAGGGGUUAGGUGGGGAAGAGAGGGAAAAAUUGUGUGGUCGUGACUGAGUUUUAUAAACCAAAAACCUCCGAUGAUAAACCGAAGACGGUGUCGCUAUGAUCGACCGUUCGGCUAUCAGACAGACUCUGAUUGCGACGAAAUUUGGCAGGCGGUCUACCUACACUAUAUUAAGACGGCACGCCAAGUUAACCCAAUCCGAGAAUAUUUUAUAUGCACUUUUCAAAAAUAAUAUUUUUAACGGUGUCGCGGGCGCGUGCGUGUGUGGUUGGUCUCAAAACGGUCUAUGACGAAAACAGAGAGAACCAGCAACUACUAACAAAUGCAGGUUUUGAAAACUGGCGCAACACAGUGUCGAUGCAAUGAAGAUGAUGCGCCUGAUGCAAUGAUGAAUGCGACAGACAAACGAACCACACGACGAGAACGGAAUUAAAAAAAGGGAAUCUUGUGGAGCAUCGGUCUCGGGUUGUCAGAAAAGCACUGCCCCCUACCCUAAUAUACCCCCCUAGCCCUGGCGGCAUGGUAGUACCAUGGUCAUCGCGGUAGUACUGCUUGGCCAGCGGUAGUAAAUUUUUACUACCUCUCGCUGGGCAGUAGUACCGCUCUUCGAGCGGCAGUAAAAUUUUACUAUCGUGCCUGGAGCGGUAGUACUAUGCCCUCUUCAAAAAAUACACUUUGAACUUUGCCAGAAUAAGAGAAAAGGUGUAGGAAAGCCCAAGAUAAGAUAAAAUAAUGAAACAAGCACAAAACAUGAACAUAGAACUGAAUCUUCUGACGAAGAGAGGGCGGUGGCCGGAGCCACCAAUGUUUGAGACAAAUGCUAUGACACCACAAAGAAUUAUCCUUGGGUUCAUGACCAAAGCUCGUCUUUGAAGCACAAGUGCAAUCAACAAUGGCUAAGGUGAAAGACGUGAUCAAUUUAUGCAUAAUGGGGGGAGGGAAAGUUCAUUGAGAGAACAACACUCCCCCUCCUUGCUUGAUAUGAUCUCGAAUGAAAUGAUGACGAAUAUCAAUAUGCUUGGUCUUGCUAUAUUGCACCGGAUUGAGAGAUAUCUUGAUGGCACUUUCAUUGUCACAUAUAAAAGGCACUUUGUCACAAUUGACAACCUAAUCCUUUAAAGUUUGCCCCAUCCAUAAUUAUUUAGCACAACAACUUGCGGCAGCUACAUACUCGGCCUCGGUGGAAGAAAGUGACACACAGUUUUGCUUCUUCGAAGACCAACUUACCGAAGAGUGACCAAGGAAUUGGCAUCCUCCAGAAGUUGACUUCCUUCCCACACGGUCUCCAGCCCAAUCCGAGUCAGAGUAACCUACUAGACUAAAGCUUGCUCCUUUGGGGUACCAUAAAGCCAAAGUUUGGGGUAUGAGCCAAAUAUACAAAGACUCGUUUGACUACCCCAUAGUGGAUUUCCUUUGGUGCGGAUUGAAACCGUGCACAAAUUCCCACACUCAACAUGAUAUCUGGUCUAGAUGCACAAAGAUAAAGCAAGGAUCCAAUCGUGGAGCGAUAUACAUUUUGAUCCACUGCUUUACCAUUGGGAUCAUUGUCAAGCUUGCAUUUGGUUGGCAUGGUAAAUUUGGCAAGCUUGACGUCCUCGAGCUUGAACCUUUUGAGCAUGUCUUGAGUGUAUUUGGCUUGUUUGAUGAAUGUUCCUUCUCUUCCCUGUUUGAUCUCAAACCCAAGAAAGAACUUCAACUCUCCCAUCAUAGACAUCUCAAACUUCUCGGUCAUUAGUGUAGCAAACUCUUCAUUGAAAGAUGCGUUAGGAGAACCAAUAAUAAUAUCAUCAACAUAUAGUUGGCAUAUGAACAAAUCCCCUUUUACCUUUUUGGUAAAAAGGGUGGGAUCAAUUUUCCCAAUUUCAAACCCACGAUCUUGCAACAACUCGGUAAGGUACUCAUACCACGCACGUGGGGCUUGUUUAAGGCUGCAGAGCGCCUCCUUGAAUUUGUAUACAUGAGUGGGGAACUUGGGAUCCUCGAAUCCUGGGGGUAGUUUGACAUAUACCUGCUCAUUUAAGGGACCAUUAAGAAAAACACUCUUCACAUCCAUUUGUUGCAACUUAAAAUCAUGAUGAGAAGCAAAUGCAAGCAACACGCGAAUAUAUUCAAGACGAGCAACAGGGGCAAAGGUUUCACCAUAGUCGAUACUCUCGACUUGGGAGUAUCCUUGAGCCAUCAAUCUUGCCUUGUUUCGAAUGACAACACCAUUUGCAUCCUUCUUGUUCUUAAAUAUCCAUUUGGUUCCAAUGACAUUAUGUUCCUCCGUUGUCCUUGGCACUAAUUCAAAAACUUGAUUGUGCUCGAAGUUGUUAAGUCCAUCAUGCAUGGCUUCAAGCCAAUCCUCAGCAUCGAGCGCAUCAUGUACCUUUUGGGGUUCAACACACGAAACAAAGGCAUGAUGCAAACAAAAGUUUGACAAUUGUUGACGAGUAGUUACCCCCUUAUUGAAGCUUCCAAGCACAUUCUUGAAGAUAUGUUGUCGAACCCAGAGCCUGUUAGCUAUCUUGGCGGCGCAGCGCUUCAAUACUUCCUUACUGGGUAAUUUAGGAGCGUCUUCUUGAACAUCUUGAGCACUGUCUUGAACUUGCUCACUAGUUUUCCCUUGAUACUGUGGUUGCACUUGAUCUUGAGCAAACUCCGAGUCUUGAGCAUGAACUUCGACAUCAUUUGGUGCAACACCAUCUUCAUGAGGUUAAUCUUGUCCUUGAUCUUCUUCAUCGGGUUCAGGGCCUUCACUUUGUUCUCCGGAAGCGUGUGGGUCUAGAGAGGGUGAUGGCUCCACUUGAGUAGAGCAUUGUCCUUCUCCUUCGGCCACAAGGGGUUCCUCAAUGUGGAGUAUUUGACCAAUCCCCAUUCUUCUUAUGGCUUGAGGAGGAAUUUCAUCACCUACAUCACAAAGACCACUUUUCUCCACUUGGCAGCCAUUAUUUUCAUCAAACUCUCUGUUACACGUCUCCUCAGUGAGUCCGGUGGACUUGUUGAGAACACGGUAAGCAUGAGAGUUUUUAGCAUAACCAACAAAUAUGCCCUCAUGACCUCUAGCUUCGAAUUUAGGCAAACGAACACCUUUCUUGAGUAUGAAACACUUACAACCGAACACCCGGAAAUACUUGAGGUUGGGCUUAUUCCCGGUAAGAAUCUCAUAUGGAGUCUAGUUCAACCCCUUGCGGGGGUAGAGCCGAUUGGAUGCAUAACAUGCGGUGUUAAUUGCUUCGGCCCAAAAGUUGUACGGAGAUUUGAAUUCCGUCAUCCUGGUUCUUGCCGCGUCCAUCAAUGUUCGGUUCUUCAUUUCCGCCACACCGUUUUAUUGAGGGGUAUAGGGUGCUAAAUAUUGGUGCUUGAUCCCCACGUCACUAAGGAACUCAUUCAAGGUGUAUUUAUUGAACUCGAUGUCGUUGUCACUUCUAAUCAUCAAUAUCUUUGCUUCAUGUUGACGUUGAGCUUCAUUAGCAAAGUCAAUGACAGUUUGUUGAGUAUAACUCUUCCUCUUGAAGAAGUAUACCCAAGUGUAUCUUGAGUAGUCAUCCACAAUCACCAAGAAAUAAUAUCUUCCCCCAAGACUAUCAAAAGAUGAAGGACCAAAGAGAUCCAUAUGAAGGAGCUCCAAGGGCCUUUUCGAGUAGAUGAUAGUUGUGGGACGGUGAGCCGUUUCAUGAAGCUUUCCUUCAAUACAAGCACUGCCAGCACGGUCUGUGGCAAAACUCACAUUUGUUAGUCCAAGAACAUGGUCCCCUUUGAGGAUACUUUGCAAAGAUUUCAUAUUUACAUGAGCUAGCCUGCGAUGCCAAAGCCAACCCACAUCAACUUUCGCCAUUAGACAAGUCAUGAUCUUAGUAGGUUGCUCCGAAAAGUUCACCACAUAGAGACCGUUCUUGACACGUCCAACAAAGGCUACUUUAAGAGUCUUGCUCCACAAAAGGGCCAUGGUAUCAAGAUUAAAGAAUGUGGCAAAGCCCAUAAUUGCAAGAUGACGAACGAAAAGCAAAUUGUAUGCAAGGGACUCAACAAGCAUGACCUUCUCUAUAGGUAAAUCUUCACAGAUGACCACCUUGCCAAAUACCAUUACCUUAGAUGUUGAGGCAUCAGCAAAUUGGACAUGGGUGGGCACAAAUGGAAUGUGACGCACAUCCACCACCAAGUCCUUGCUCCCGGUCAUAUGAUUUGUGGCUCCACUGUCGAGCAACCAUGACACUCCACCGGAAGCAAAUUCCUACAAGAGAUCAAUGCUUGGAUUUAGGUACCCAUUCUUGAAUGGGUCCUUUGAUGUUAGAAACAAGGUUCCUAGGAACCCAAAUAACCCAUUCAAUGUACUCAUAAUGAGAACCAACAAAUUUAGCAUAAACAUGCCCAUCACUAGCACGACAUAAAACAUAAUAGGGGUUAAAGUCACCCGCUUUGUUGGUACAGGUGGUUUUGCUCUUCUUGGCAUUAUCACCCCUUCCUUGUUCUUCAUCUUCUUAUGAGUACUCUCACCCUCUUUGACAAAAAUGUCCUUGAGAGGGGAAGAUAGGUUGGUCUUGUUCUUCUUUUUCUUCUUAGACGUGCAAACCCAAGUCCCUUCUUUCCUACAACUUCCUUUUGAUUACUCAAAAGGUCAUUUAGGUUCUUCUCACCUUGGAUGCAUCUCACAAGGCCCUUUUCGAGUUGUUCUUUAACCUUAGCAUUUCCUCCACAAGAUGCACAUGCUCACAACAAGGGUUAGUAGCACAAGCAUUAUCAAUUAGAACAAAAGGAGGACAAGUAGAAAUCUCCUUGGUUAGUUUUACUUGGAGUUGAUCAUGAGACUCCUUAAGAGAGGAAUGAACACCUUUCAAGACCUUGUGGGCCUUGUCAAGUGUGUCAAAUUCUUCCUUGAGUCUAUCAUGGCCAAUCCCAAGUGUAACUUUCUCAUAUUUAAGCACACGGGUAAGAACAAGAGCAUGAUCAAGAUAUUUUUGCAAUUUAGCAUGAUCAACAUUGUGUGACUCCUCAAGAGCCAAACGAAGAGGGCGCUCUUAUUUUAAAGCAAUGGAUAGUUCUGCUAUCUCAUCGGCGUAAUCACGACUAUGUCCCACCAACUUGGAGAUAGUCUCCUCAUGAGACUCGAUGAGAUCAUUGGCCUCACCAAGUUGUUCCAAAAGAGCAAUAAAGUGUUUUUUGAUCUCACCUUUGAUCUUACACAUGAAUUUGUCAAACUCAUUUUCAUCAAGCUCCACUACUUCACUAUCAUCAACACAGUUUAACAAUGAAGGAGAGGUAGUGAUAGUGGUCUUGAUGUUGGGGGUUACCUUAUUUGUACCUUUGGCCACGAGGCACUUGGCGAUGCGGAUCUCGUUGGUGGCAUCGAAGAGAGACAUCUUGGGGGAGGAAGUGGCAAUGGCCACGGUAGUCGUUGCCAUCCCCUCAUGGCAUGUAUCAUCAUUUUCAUCAUCGGAGGUGUACUCUUCAUGAGCCACCAAACCCCUUGGANNNNNNNNNNNNNNNNNNNNNNNNNNNNNNNNNNNNNNNNNNNNNNNNNNNNNNNNNNNNNNNNNNNNNNNNNNNNNNNNNNNNNNNNNNNNNNNNNNNNUUAGUAGGCCGUGCGCUUUGUCGUCUGCCAACAGACGAUGAAUAAUGUUUGCCGUGUGCUGGCAGUCGGCAAAAAAGCAAGUCGGAUGACCUAACCAGGUCUAGGGCCCAAUGGGCACAGUUGGGUCCUUUGCCAUCUACUUUUGGGCUUUUUGCUGUCCGCUAGCAGAUGGCAAAGAAAGGCAUGACGUCAAAUACGUUAUUUGCCAUUAGUCCCUUCUUUGUCGUCUGCUUUUUGUAAGCUGAUGGCAAAAACCGUCUUUGUCGUCCGCUAGCACACAACAAAGAAGUGAUAGACGGAAAAUUUCCUGAUUCUAGUAAUGACUCGAAAAUUCCGAGAUGAAAUCAAUAGGCAAUAGAAGGUUGGUAUGUGCUCUUCGAUGGGACUGAGUUGUUAGGGUUUAAGUAGUCGCUCGAUCAAGUGUAACUCGGAGAAUCUAGUGUUUCUCGUGGGUCUGAUUUGAAUUUUGGAUUUUGGACAGGUAAGAAUGUAAGGGUGAAUGUAAGGGUGUGGCUGNNNNNNNNNNNNNNNNNNNNNNNNNNNNNNNNNNNNNNNNNNNNNNNNNNNNNNNNNNNNNNNNNNNNNNNNNNNNNNNNNNNNNNNNNNNNNNNNNNNNAUAUAAGCCACCCCCCUCCACAUAGCUAGGGACAUUUUCUUCUUCUCCCCCAGCGGGCUCAUUCCUUCCCUAGAGCUCUAGCUCUCUCUCUAUACCUUGUAACUCAUGUCCAUGACAGAUAAAACAAAGUCUCGCCAGAGCACGAGACGUAGGGUUGUUAUCUCCACUGUGAGAGGCCUGAACUCGCAAAAACCACUGUGUCACCCAUGUGCAUCUUGAUAGAUCAUGCUUCGCUAUCCUACCCUCUUUCUAUUGUCGGAAUCGUUACCACAACAGUUAGGAAAACCAAAAAAGUCAUGAGGUUCUCUUCGGCUCAUGUUGGGGUUCACUUCCUCAUUUGAUGUGGUUCCGUCGCGGUCCACUCUUGUUCAUAAAAAGUUAGAAUAAAUGACAAAACAGAAAUAAUGAAGUUCGCUUGACUGUGUGAUGUAGUGCGCCUUUCCGUCAAAAAGGAGUGCGCUCUUCUAUCCGAUGUGAUUCACGCGUCGGUUUUUUACCGUGAAAAACAGAGUGUCCGUGUUUCGGUAAAACCAAAACUGCUCUUAAAUCGUAAGGAAUAAGNNNNNNNNNNNNNNNNNNNNNNNNNNNNNNNNNNNNNNNNNNNNNNNNNNNNNNNNNNNNNNNNNNNNNNNNNNNNNNNNNNNNNNNNNNNNNNNNNNNNUGCCAGAGCCGCGCGUGGCGACAAUUUAGCGGCCGGCACCAGAGGCCGUGCAAGGCGACGAUGAAGCGGACGCCGCCGGCGGCGAGAAAUCGAUGUGCCACUUGUGGUUGAAGAAAAAUAACCAUAUGCAUCAUGGCUCAAUAGACGCUAUGCGCCACGGUGGGCGCCAACUGUCGUGGUAACGAUUCCGACAAUAGAAAGAGGGUAGGAUAACGGAGCAUGAUCUAUCAAGAUGCACAUGGGUGACACGGUGGUUUUAGCGAGUUCAGGCCUCUCACAGUGGAGAUAACAACCCUACGUCUCGUGCUCCGGAGAGGCUUUGUUUUAUCUGUCAUGGACAUGAGUUACAACGGAUAGAGAGAGAGCUAGAGCUCCAGGGAAGGAAUGAGCCCGCUGGGGGAGAAGAAGAAGAUGUCCCUAGCUAUGUGGAGGGGGGUGGCUUAUAUAGAGUGCGCCACCUCCUCACCUCUUAUGUUACAAGAUGGGGCAUUGAUGCCAUAAUGUCAGCCCACUACAGAUGUCUUGCCGACUGUUGGUAUCCGCAUGACCGAGUGAGUCAUACGGCCGAGUGGUUGACUGUCAUCCGAGUGGAUGGAAUGUNNNNNNNNNNNNNNNNNNNNNNNNNNNNNNNNNNNNNNNNNNNNNNNNNNNNNNNNNNNNNNNNNNNNNNNNNNNNNNNNNNNNNNNNNNNNNNNNNNNNUCUCAUCUAUCUUCUUGCACUCGUUGUGUGUGUCUAUUAAUUCUGGGGGAGCAACGAUCCUAUUUUGUGCACCUAUGUCAAAUACAAAAAUCUCAUAUUAGUGCACAAAUCAUGGGGAGCUUCUCUAGUUUUUGAUAAAGCACUAUGUUGCCUCUAUCAUAAUAUCUUUUAUUCAUGUGGUUCGAAGGACCAUAUGAUUGUGUGUUCCAUCUGGAAUUCUUUGAUUGCUUGCCUCCAUCUUUGUAUGUCUUUGUGGCAUACGAUCCUUUUAUUUGCAAUCUUUGGGUCCUCAAUAUAGUUUGUUUUCCUCCAACUACUUAUCAUUGUAUUUGUGUAUUUUUCUGCACUCAUUUGCUGAGAAGUACACACUUUUUGGAGGACCACCUACUAUUUUGGCUUUCUAAACUUGUCGUCCAUUUUGGCAAUCGAUGCCAAUGGGGGAGAAGUUUAGAGAGUUUACUUUGGAUAUGUUUAGAGGGUUUUGCUUUUAUUGCGUAAGCAUUUACAUCUUGCACACAUGCAUUAUUACCUUGUAUGUGUGCGCUUGGUUAUGCUUAUUUCUUUACAUAAACUCUCUUGAAGUGGUUGUCUUCAAUUACCAAANNNNNNNNNNNNNNNNNNNNNNNNNNNNNNNNNNNNNNNNNNNNNNNNNNNNNNNNNNNNNNNNNNNNNNNNNNNNNNNNNNNNNNNNNNNNNNNNNNNNUGGGAAAGGUCACCACAUGGUAAGAACCCAAAACCAAGCACUUCUCCCAUUGCAAGAAUCAUAGAUCUAGUUGGCCAAACAAAACCCAAGACUCGGAGAGACUUACGAGGAUAUCAAAUCACGCAUAUAAGGAAUCAGCAAAGACUAAAAAAUAUAUCAUAGAUAAUCUGAUCACAAAUCCACAAUUCAUUGGGUCUCGACAAACACACCGCCAAAGAAGAUUACAUCGGAUAGAUCUCCAUGAAGAUCAUGGAGAACUUUGUAUUGAAGAUGCAAGAGAGAGAAGAAGCCAUCUAGCUACUAACUACGGACCCGUAGGUCUGAAGUGAACUACUCACGAGCCAUUGGAGGGGCGAUGAUGAUGAUGAAGAAGCCCUCCAACUCCAAAGUCCCCUCCGGCAGGGCACCGGGAAGGGUCUCCAGAUGAGAUCUCGCGGAAACGGAAGCUUGCGGCGUCGGAAAAGUAUUUUCGUGGAUCCCCCGAUUUUUUGUUGUAUUUUAGGGAAUAUAUAGGCCAAGGAUCUAGGUCAGGGGGUGGCCAGGGAGGCCACAAGCCCUGCCACCGCCGCCUCCCCCUGGUGGCGUAGUGGGGGCUUGUGGGCUCCCAGGAGUCGUCCUGGCUUNNNNNNNNNNNNNNNNNNNNNNNNNNNNNNNNNNNNNNNNNNNNNNNNNNNNNNNNNNNNNNNNNNNNNNNNNNNNNNNNNNNNNNNNNNNNNNNNNNNNGAAUUUCCCUUGUAGUCCUUAAACUAAUAAUGAGGUGCCUUUGGGUAGGACGUAUUGGUCAGACCUAUGACCCUACCCUAGGGCUAUAUCCCCGUCAUUAGCCCCCGAAUGGAUCAGGGUCCGAGUGGUGAAGGUGUCGAUGUAAAUUUUGUAGCAGCAGACCAAACUUGAAUGUGCUUCAGGGCCUUGCAAAAUUAUGCGUUGAUUGAAGCCUUCAUCAUUCGCCCUGAUCGAUUCCGCUGAGUAGUAUGUCCGAGUGAACUUAAGAACUGAAGUAGAUCCGAGUGACCAACAGGAUCUUGAGACUUUGACUGACUGCUGGUAGUCGGUUCGAAUCUGUUGAAUCUGUUGAACUUGGAUGUUGUUGGUGGACCUGACCAAGCAGAAUGUUUCUUUUUUGUAUUUCUCUUCCUGUGGGGGCACGCUUAGUGCACCCACUGGGUGUAGUCCCCGAGCCUCUGUCGGACUAGAUGAGUCUGGCAGAGGGUUUAAGACUUCCAGCGCUUGUCGUGUUGAAUGUUUGUUGAAUCUGCAUUAUAUGAUUUCUAGAUCAAAGUCAAGUCUCCGAGUGUAUUUUUUAACUUAGACGAUACGGGGUCGCAGCUAAGUUCCCGAGUGUGGAGCGUGUCUGUACUCGGAGUAGUUUUUACUUAGGUGAUACAGGGUCGCAGUGAAGCCCCCGAGUGUGGAGCUUGUCCGCAGUAAGAGUUGUUUUUAACUUAGGCGAUACGGAGUCGCAACUAAGCNNNNNNNNNNNNNNNNNNNNNNNNNNNNNNNNNNNNNNNNNNNNNNNNNNNNNNNNNNNNNNNNNNNNNNNNNNNNNNNNNNNNNNNNNNNNNNNNNNNNGUUCCUUUGACGUUAGUUGUGCGGAGUGAUGAUCAGCGAAUAAAAGUAUACACUCAAGUAUGGAUCAUCAGUACUCUUUUAUGAUUCUUGAGUCCUUAGGGAUCCCGCACUAUUAAGAGGGGAUCACAGGUUUUGCGAUGAACUUGCUCAAACUACAUCAUCACUUUCUGCUCAGACCACAUCUCCACUCCUUUGCUGUUAUCUGUAAACAGAACAAGUGCCUCGGACAUUCGGCUUCCUCCCGAUGUCCGAGGGCCGGACGACCGACUCCCUCGGAAAUCCGGAAUCCUAUACCAGAGAAAUCAGAGCCAUUUAACUCAGACUUCCGACUCCCUCCGGACGUCCGAGGCCCGGAUGUCCGGCCAAGUCCUGGAAAUCCGGAAGCCUGCACCAGUAGAAGUUGAGUUCUAUAUCUCGGUAAACCGACUCCCUCCGGACGCUCGAGGGCCGGACGUCCGGCCAGGUUCCGGAAAUCCGGAGGUCAACACCAGUAGAAUAUGUGCACUAUAUCUCGGAAAUCCGGCUUCCUCCGGAUGCCCGACCACCGGAUGUCCGGCACUCAUCGGAAAUCCAGAAGCCACCACCAGUAGAACUUGUGCUGUAUAACACGGACUUCCGGGCCACUCCGGACGUCCGUAUACUGAUGAAUUCAAAUAUGUUCAAGCACACCUACAGGCCUCGGACGACCGACCCCUGUCGGAUGUCCGGUCGCUAUUUAAUUCAAAAUAGUUUCAGUCGUAUCUACAGGCCCCGGAUGACCGACCCCUGUCGGACGUCCGACCCCUCGCGGUCGCCCGGACUUCCGACAACUGUCGGACGUCCGGACCCUGUGUGACUUAAAGUGUCCCCAACGGCUCUUUUUCUCUCCANNNNNNNNNNNNNNNNNNNNNNNNNNNNNNNNNNNNNNNNNNNNNNNNNNNNNNNNNNNNNNNNNNNNNNNNNNNNNNNNNNNNNNNNNNNNNNNNNNNNGAAAUGUGUUCUUAUGAGGAUAAGGCUGUGUUGGGCAACCCUCUCACGAAGUGGGAGGGGGGUAUUUAUAGAGUGGAGAGAAAAAGAGCCGUUGGGGACACUUUAAGUCACACAGGGUCCGGACGUCCGACAGUUGUCGGAAGCCCGGGCGACCGCGAGGAGUCGGACAUCCGACAGGGGUCGGUCGUCCGGGGCCUGUAGAUACGACUGAAACUAUUUUGAAUUAAACAGCGACCGGACGUCAGACAGGGGUCGGUCGUCCGAGGCCUGUAGGUCUGCCUGAACAUAUUUUAAUUCAUCAGUAUACGGACGUCCGGAGUGGCCCGGAAGUCCAUGUUAUACAACACAAGUUCUACUCGUGGUGGCUUCUGGAUUUCCGAUGAGUGUCGGACAUCCGGUGGUCGGGCAUCCGGAGGAAGCCGGAUUUCCGAGAUAUAGUGCACACAUUCUACUGGUGUUGACCUCCGGAUUUCCGGAGCCUGGCCGGACAUCCGGCCCUCGGGCGUCCGGAGGGAGUCGGAUUACCAAGAUAUAGAACUCAACUUCUACUGGUGCAGGCUUCCGGAUUUCCGGGACUUGGCCGGACAUCCGGGCCUCGGACGUCCGGAGGGAGCCGGAAGUCCGAGUUAAAUGGCUCUGAUUUCUCUGGUAUAGGAUUCCAGAUUUCCGAGGGAGUCGGUCGUCCGACCCUCGGAUGUCCGGAGGAAGCCGGAUGUACGAGGCACUGGUUCUAUUUACAUAUAACAGCAAAGCAGGGGAGAUCUGGUGUGAGCAGAAAGUGAUGAUGUAGUUUGAGCAAGUUCAUCGCAAAAGCUGUGAUCCCCUCUUAAUAGUGCGGGAUCCCUAAGGACUCAAGAAUCAUAAAAGAGUAUUGAUGAUCCAUACUUGAGUGUAUACUUUUAUUCGCUGAUCAUCACUCCGCACAACUAACGUCAAAGGAACNNNNNNNNNNNNNNNNNNNNNNNNNNNNNNNNNNNNNNNNNNNNNNNNNNNNNNNNNNNNNNNNNNNNNNNNNNNNNNNNNNNNNNNNNNNNNNNNNNNNAGUUAGAAUACAGUACCUUAUGCAAUAAUUAAAUAUGAAUAAAUUUACAACAAUAACUAAAGUUUAUGAUUUGCCUAUUAUACUAAUGGAUCUUGUCGGAGUCUUGGAUCCGCGUCCAAGAAACUCUCUCAAGAACUAGGGUUCGAACACUGGGGGGCUUUGCUUGGCAACCUACGACACGAUGACAACUACGACGAGGUCGACAACGAGCUCAUUCAAUCUCACCGCACACGCCGGGGAUGCACGAGCUACCCAGGUUUGGGCCACCGUGCAAUGUAAUAAACUACUCCUGCGUGUGUUGGAUUGCCUUGCAAUAGAGGGCUUGUGGCUCUAGGUAAACGAAAAAGUGAGGGGGGGGGGGAAUGGGUUGAUCCCCUUACAUGGAAGUGGCACUGCCCCUCUUGUAGUGCCUUGGUCCUCUUCCCUAAAAAUAUGAGAGGGAAAGGGUGGCCACAGGGCGGCAAUUCAAAGAAGGAAAAAAGCGCAGGCCUAUCCUGACUAAAGGUGGUCUUCGCGUGCUAAAGUAGCCAUUCUGACGCGCCGGUCAACUUGGUGACGACCUCCAUCCUAGCGAGCCGCGUCAGCAUGGUCGUCUUUCACCGGAAUGACAAGCUUUGGGAACCUCUUUUGGGGGAGGCUGCGAGUUGUGCACUUUAAUCACCAAAGAGAAAAUCCUUCCUAUUCGUGCCUGCUGGUACAACCUCUGUCGUCCUGGUCCGCUCGGGUGCGUCACCCACAUGAUGGGUAAAAUUUCUCCCUAAGUGGUUUUGGUGAUUGAUGACAAUGCGAGUGCGGACUAAUCAUGUGCAUUGAGCAUUUCAGAUAAUUCAUGACUAGGCACAAGACGAUUCGGUGCCCCUCGGAGUCUUUCAAAGACGGUUGCUUUCUACGUUUCUGUUUGGUGGAUUUGAGUAGUAGCAAAGCCAUACUAUUAAGAGGGGGUCCGCUUCGGAAAGGUUUGGGUGGAAUCUACGCGUACACAUUUCCAUUGCACCACUUUUCCCUUGCUUCAAUGGAGCUCCAACAUGUUUUCCCUAUAUGUGCAAAAGGGCCAGCGGUAGUACCGCAGGCACAACGGUAGUACCGCCCGCUCUCUAGGCGGUAGUAGUUUUUUACUACCGCUCCGUCGGACUUUUUACGCAUCCUUUUGCCUCAGCUUUGGUAGGCAUGGUAGUAAUUUAUUACUACCAUGGUUGGUGAACUACCAUGUGGUAGUACCGCUCCUAGCAGCGGUAGUACCGCUCCUGGCAGUGGUAGUACCUCUCCUAGCANNNNNNNNNNNNNNNNNNNNNNNNNNNNNNNNNNNNNNNNNNNNNNNNNNNNNNNNNNNNNNNNNNNNNNNNNNNNNNNNNNNNNNNNNNNNNNNNNNNNUAACUAUUGGUUUCUUGGAUUGAUGGCAUUGGUGCAGGUACUCCAGAGUCCAUCCAACACAAUCUUGAAUGGUUCUAGACUUGAUAAAGCCAUAGUGAUUCUUGUGAAUACACUUCAUGAUCUGCAACUGCAACCUGUUGGCUAUCAUUUUGGACAGAAACUUGAGGCCCAUCCCAGUGAGGGAUAUUGGUCUGUAGUCUCCCACUUGCUCAGGUGAUCUCUUCUUGGGAAUCAAAGUAAUAUAAGAUGAGUUCAUGUUCUCAAGUUGAGCAUUACCAGCAUGAAAGGCAGCAGCAAGUUGGUAAAACUCAGGAGAGAUAAUGGACCAACAUUUCUUGAAGAAAAGGCCAUUGAAACCAUCAGGUCCAGGAGCCUUGUCAAUUGGCAUUUCCUGAACAGUCUUGUCCAUUUCAGACUUAGAAAAAGGUUGUGUGAGAAUAUCAAGACCCUCCACCUUCUGAAGCAGAGAUUGUAAAUCAAAGGCCAUGUUAAUUCCAAGGGAAGUUCCCAUUCUAUCCUUAAAAGAUGCCCAAAAGCAUGCAACAAUUCGAUCAUGAUCAGAUAUGAUGGAUCCAUCAUUUAACUUGAGUGAUGCAAUGGAGUUCCUCCUAUAUCUCUCAGUUGCCAUAGCAUGAAAGAAUUUGGUGUUUUCCUCACCAACUUUAACAAAUCUGAUAGUGGCUCUCUUUUUCCAGUAUAAGCACUGAAGAGGCAAUAGGUGCUCCAAGUGUAAUUUAAUAAUACUCCUGAAGUUAGCUUCAGGUCUGAAAAGGGGCCUCAAUUUCUCAAGCUCAUCCAAACACAACACAACUUGAUUGCAUCUGGAGAUGAAAAUUUUCAGCUGUGAUAAGUUUGUCUGCCAUCUUUUCAGAGCCUGCCUGAGAUGUUUCAUCUUAUCCAUAAUGACAGCAGUAAUAUGGGCUUUCUUGGAAGGAAUGACCCAGGACUGUUGAACACACUCCAUGAAGCCCUCCAUUUCAACCCAGUAGUUUUCAAACCAAAAUAGGUUGCACUUAGGGAUGGAAGUGUUGACAGUGACCACACAUGGAACAUGAUCGGAAGCUGUCUUUGCAAGGGGGAGCACUUGUGUAAGAGGAUAUGAAGAGAUCCAGUUGGCUGAUGUGAAGAACUAGUCAAGUUGCUCAAGAAGAGGGGAAUCUUGCAUAUUGGACCAAGUGAAAGAUCUGCCCUUAAUAGGUAGUUCUAGUAAGCCCAGAUGACCAAUAAUUUCAUUGAAGAUGAACAUAUCAUUUACAUCAGCCCCAAGGAGGUUUCUGUUGUCAGGUGAUCNNNNNNNNNNNNNNNNNNNNNNNNNNNNNNNNNNNNNNNNNNNNNNNNNNNNNNNNNNNNNNNNNNNNNNNNNNNNNNNNNNNNNNNNNNNNNNNNNNNNCGUAGAAAGAGAGUGGUUGGCGUCCCUUUUAUGGGCGAUGCGGUUCAGGAUCCGCCAUGGCCGUGGAUUAUACUAACUUGUUGGUACGAAAGCAAAACUGGCUCGGGCAGAGGUGGGGUGGGGUGGGGUGGCUUGGGUCGAAAGGUUUUGUUGCUGUCGGGGCUUCGAUGGAAUGGUUAAGGUUGACGUGCAGCGGAUGGAAUUAGCAGCGAUCGCCCGCUGACUAGUAAGGCCUACGCUACGCAGUACGCACGCAUGCAACGGUCUUGUUGCGCAGCCAUUGCCAAGCUUGAGCGAUGAGCGGCUCUAGUGUAUGUACACUAUCUUAUCUCUCGUUUUAACAUCCUUCAUGUUGCAGUAGGGUAUGUAACAUGGACGGCGGUGCGACAAGGUGAAGGCUCAAGGAUUUAUUUUUCUAUCCUAUAAAUACAUGGUAUGCUUUUAAUUUGUACUCCUAAAAAUUACACAUGUGAAUACUAGUGAAUGUCUUUAUAAACUUUGUCAACAGCUAAAAUACCGUAUGAUUUCAAGCCAUAGAAAUAGAAUGGAUAUCAUUUCUACCCGCUGAGAUGACAUGAAUGAAAACACACCUUAUUUAGAAAUUUCCUCAUCAGCGUCCCCAAUUAUAAACACCGAAUUAACACAAUAUGCAUGUUUUACCAUCCUCCGCUCAAGGCAUCUUCAACGCUAACCCGCAAAUUUACUUCGGCAUCUGUCCACGGAGGGGGCGGAUCAGUCCGUACACACUGAUGCGAGAGGCCGUCAUACAACAAUAUCCGCAUACAAUCCAACCACUCGUCAAAUCAAAUGGAAGAAAUUCAUGUAAACAUGACAUAUCUCAUAUAAACUGCAAGAUAUUCAUGCACACACGAUGGAUUUCAUAUAAAUCGGACGGAAUUCAUUACAUUUCAGGUAUACUUUAACUGAAAGCGGAGCUCAUCCGACUCUAGAGGUAUAAUUUUAGAAAUACUUCAAACAAUCACCUAAACUAAAUGAUCGUUGGCACGUGUUCCCCAUGUUCGUCCAUGAGUCCCGAGAACUGAAGCUCAGGCACUUGCCUUCGCGUUCUCCAGUUCGGCAUCGACGCUCCCCAGAUGUGCCUCCGCAGCCUUCGACACCAACGCUUGAGUGGCUAAUCGGCUGGCGAUUUUCGGCCUCGCAAGCUUGGUUUCAGCCGGGACGUGUUGAAAUAUGCCCUAAUGGCAAUAAUAAAUGAUUAUUAUUAUAUUUUCUUGUUCAUCAUAAAUAUUUAUGAUUCAUGCAAGAAUUGUAUUGAUCGAAAACUUAAAUACAUGUGUGGACACAUAACAUCAUUGUGUCNNNNNNNNNNNNNNNNNNNNNNNNNNNNNNNNNNNNNNNNNNNNNNNNNNNNNNNNNNNNNNNNNNNNNNNNNNNNNNNNNNNNNNNNNNNNNNNNNNNNCACCCUCUAGAAGAACCUAACCUCCGUGCUAUCUUCACAAUCAUGGCUUCCCGCAUGAUUUUUUUUGGUGUGUUGUGUUGUUUUUUAUGUAAGUGUAAUUCAGAUACGCUUUGUAGCAUCUAAAUGGCCGUCUUGCUCAUUGGCGGAUGUGCGCUCGGGACGUGAUGAACUUCUGUCUUACUUGUCCCAGCGAUAACACUUGAACUUCCCCGGGUGCUAGGUUGAACUUCUGCUAAAAAGUGUACAAAUGGGGCUCGCGAUAUACCGUUGGAAAGCUAUGGACACCCUCGUAACAUCCUAGGUUGAAUUUUUUGUCAAAGUUUACACGGUUGAAGAGCAGUUUCAAAAACUAUUUUUCUUCAUACAAAAAACGCGAGUCACAUUUUUUAGCCUAUUUCUAAACCGUUUAUCGGAAUGAGGCAAAUGAGAUGGCAUUGGAUAGCUGCUACAAAUCCGCUCAUUUCAUAUGUUGAAAGUUUUUCCAAAUACCCUACGGUUAAAGAGGAAUUUAAAAAAUGGUGUAGUUUCUGAAACCGAACAGCUGCGUUCGUAUUUCGGGGUUAAUUUGAAGAAGGCCUGCCUAAUCAUCGCAAAUGAUAUGUUGUUGGAAAGUUUAUGAAAAUGCACACCUUUUCAUAUGAAAAGUUUCUUCCAACUAUAAACGGUUUAAAAAUAAUUUAGAAAAUGGCCAAAGUUGUAUCGAGUUUGUAUUUUUGCGUUAAUUCCUCAAUGGUUUGUCGGAAUGGAGCAAAUGGUACAGCGUUGGAAAGCUUGAGAAAAUGCGAAACUUUUAUAUGUAGAUUGUUUUUUACAAUUUUUUACUGUUUGAAUUCAAUUUAAAAAAUAGCUAAAACAUUUUUUGGCCGUAUUUUUUACAAAAUCUAUCGGAAUGGGGCAAAUAAUAUACCGUUGAAAAGCUACGGAAAAUACAAAACUCUUUCUUGUAGAUAGUUUUCUCUAAUUACUAGCCGUUUUCAAGAAAUCCUGAAAACAACGAGAUCAUGUGUUCUCCCUUUAGCGCGAAACAAAGUGUUCGAAAAUGCACCGAGUGAAUAACUUGAACUUCUUGGCUUGUCUACUUGCACUUUAGUCUGUUUUUCACGUGUUGUUUUGUGCUCGUAACUCUCCAUCAACUUAUUGGAAUUGAACAUGUGAUAUACCGAAGGAACGCUGCUGUAAAGGCACAACUUUUCCAUGUUGAUUAUUUUUUCAUACUCGCGAUGGUUUAAAAGAUUUUCAUCUCAAUUUCAUUGAGUGUAGUAGUUGAAUUUUCCGCUGUUUUUGUUAAACUUCUGUCGCGUAUUUUGUUUUGUAAUUUCUCAUCGAUUCGUCGGUGUUACACAAAUGAUAUUCCUUUUGUACAAACCUCUCUCAUGAUAAUUAUUUAACUUUCUCCGACCAAGGACUUGAACUUAUAGCAACACGAAAUUUGGACCUUGCCUUUUUAUUCAUUUUUCUCAUAUUAAACACACACCAUGUAGUAGGUGAAUUUCUCUGUUUUUAUAACUUUAAAAUUUUAUUUCCUUUUUGAAAUCAUAUUGUGUAACACCCCAGAUGUAAUCNNNNNNNNNNNNNNNNNNNNNNNNNNNNNNNNNNNNNNNNNNNNNNNNNNNNNNNNNNNNNNNNNNNNNNNNNNNNNNNNNNNNNNNNNNNNNNNNNNNNUGUAUGUAUGCUCAAAUAACACAAGUAAACCACAAGUAAGGAGUUAGGGUUAAGGAUAACCAAGGUCACUGAGACAAAGAUGUAUCCUGAUGUUCACGACUUUCCGCGGUUCUAUCAAUUGCUCGACAGUAAUUUGUUCACCCACCGUCUACUUGCUUUCAUGAGAGAAGCCACUAGCAAACACUACGGUCCCCGGGUCUAUUCACAUCUAUCGUUUACACCUCCACUUUUACUUUGCUUUGUUACUUUGUUGCUUCCAGUUCUCACUUGGCGAACAAUCUAUAAGGGUUGACAACCCCUUUCUAGCGUUGGGAGCAGGUUUUUUGUGUUUGUGCAGGAUCUUGUGAUACUCCUCCACUGGAUUGAUACCUUGGUUCUCAAACUGAGGGAAAUACUUACCACCGCUGUGCUACAUCACCCUUUCCACUUCGAGGGAACACCAACGCAAGGCUCCAUAGCCGUAGAAGAAGGAUUCCUGGUGCCGUCGACACGACUAUUCCUGUCGCCGUUGCCGGGGAAGCACAUCUGACAUCAGAAGUAUUUCUGGCGCCGUUGCCAGGGAGAAUCAAGACAAGAACAGUCUCCCGUCAGCACGUGUUUCUGGCACCGUUGGAAGGUCUUUUGUUGCAGUAGCAGAAGUAUUUCUGGCGCCGUUGCCGGGGAGGAGAGAUCAAGAUCUAUCCAAGUAGGUCUCACAAACUCAUCUCCUACAUUUACUUUUUUGCCAGUUGCCUCUCGUUUUCCUCUCCCCCACUUCACAUUUGUCGUUUUCAUUCGCCUUUUUCCUUUGCCUUUCUCUUUUGCCAUUUUCUUUUGCCCAUUUCAUUCUCUCUUCCUGCUCGUUUGUGUGUGAGAUUGUCCAUCAAUGGCUAGACAAGAACAGUCUCCCGUCAGCAUGUGUUUCUGGCGCCGUUGGAAGGUCUUUUGUUGCAGUAGCAGCGGGCAAUGCGAUAGUGCCACCCGUGCAGUUCAAUAGCUCCCCAACGGCGAGCGACACCGAAUUUUUACCUCUGUCCCAUGUUGCUCUGGUUUCCACGGGCGAUGAAGGUCAAACGACGGAGCUCACCCCCGUGCAGUUUCAGAAAAAUAUUUUUACUCCUUUUAAUUCUGGAUGGAUUUUGGAUGUGCAAUGCAGUGUAAUGCACCUUUUUGUCUAUUUCAGAUUUGUUUGUACAGUGCAGUGUAAUGCGUUUCUCUGCUUGGGGUCGUGUGGUGCAGUUCGGUCGGGUCCUCUUGACCCGCGAGGUUGCAGGUUGCGACGUGCGGAUAAGGGGAUCAUGCGGUUUCCGUGAGCAUUUUUGCAGUUUUAAUGGAUGGAUGUUUCAAUGUGUUUUUUUUGUUGUGUCUAUGAAGAUGUAUGCAUGUUUGUAUUUCUUGUACCCAUGGAGAUGUAUGCAUGUUUGUAAGAUGGGUGUGCCCCCAAAAAUGAUGCAGUUCAAUAAUCUUGACCAUGUGGUCCACAUCCGGCUACAAAAAAAGUUAGUGACGGGGAUAUAGCCCUAGGGUAGUUUCAUAGGUCUGACCAAUACGUCCUACCCAAAGGCACCUCAUUAUUAGUUUAAGGACUACAAGGGAAAUUCNNNNNNNNNNNNNNNNNNNNNNNNNNNNNNNNNNNNNNNNNNNNNNNNNNNNNNNNNNNNNNNNNNNNNNNNNNNNNNNNNNNNNNNNNNNNNNNNNNNNUGUAUGUAUGCUCAAAUAACACAAGUAAACCACAAGUAAGGAGUUAGGGUUAAGGAUAACCAAGGUCACUGAGACAAAGAUGUAUCCUGAUGUUCACGACUUUCCGCGGUUCUAUCAAUUGCUCGACAGUAAUUUGUUCACCCACCGUCUACUUGCUUUCAUGAGAGAAGCCACUAGCAAACACUACGGUCCCCGGGUCUAUUCACAUCUAUCGUUUACACCUCCACUUUUACUUUGCUUUGUUACUUUGUUGCUUCCAGUUCUCACUUGGCGAACAAUCUAUAAGGGUUGACAACCCCUUUCUAGCGUUGGGAGCAGGUUUUUUGUGUUUGUGCAGGAUCUUGUGAUACUCCUCCACUGGAUUGAUACCUUGGUUCUCAAACUGAGGGAAAUACUUACCACCGCUGUGCUACAUCACCCUUUCCACUUCGAGGGAACACCAACGCAAGGCUCCAUAGCCGUAGAAGAAGGAUUCCUGGUGCCGUCGACACGACUAUUCCUGUCGCCGUUGCCGGGGAAGCACAUCUGACAUCAGAAGUAUUUCUGGCGCCGUUGCCAGGGAGAAUCAAGACAAGAACAGUCUCCCGUCAGCACGUGUUUCUGGCACCGUUGGAAGGUCUUUUGUUGCAGUAGCAGAAGUAUUUCUGGCGCCGUUGCCGGGGAGGAGAGAUCAAGAUCUAUCCAAGUAGGUCUCACAAACUCAUCUCCUACAUUUACUUUUUUGCCAGUUGCCUCUCGUUUUCCUCUCCCCCACUUCACAUUUGUCGUUUUCAUUCGCCUUUUUCCUUUGCCUUUCUCUUUUGCCAUUUUCUUUUGCCCAUUUCAUUCUCUCUUCCUGCUCGUUUGUGUGUGAGAUUGUCCAUCAAUGGCUAGACAAGAACAGUCUCCCGUCAGCAUGUGUUUCUGGCGCCGUUGGAAGGUCUUUUGUUGCAGUAGCAGCGGGCAAUGCGAUAGUGCCACCCGUGCAGUUCAAUAGCUCCCCAACGGCGAGCGACACCGAAUUUUUACCUCUGUCCCAUGUUGCUCUGGUUUCCACGGGCGAUGAAGGUCAAACGACGGAGCUCACCCCCGUGCAGUUUCAGAAAAAUAUUUUUACUCCUUUUAAUUCUGGAUGGAUUUUGGAUGUGCAAUGCAGUGUAAUGCACCUUUUUGUCUAUUUCAGAUUUGUUUGUACAGUGCAGUGUAAUGCGUUUCUCUGCUUGGGGUCGUGUGGUGCAGUUCGGUCGGGUCCUCUUGCCACCCUCGAGGUUGCAGGUUGCGACAUGCGGAUAAGGGGAUCAUGCGGUUUCCAUGAGCAUUUUUGCAGUUUUAAUGGAUGGAUGUUUCAAUGUGUUUUUUUGUUGUGUCUAUGAAGAUGUAUGCAUGUAUAUAUUUCUUGUACCCAUGGAGAUAUAUGCAUGUUUGUAAGAUGGGUGUGCCCCCAAAAAUAAUGCAGUUCAAUAAUCUUGACCAUGUGGUCCACAUCCGGCUACAAAAAAAGUUAGAAAAAACAACAAAGUAAUGAGGUUCACUUCAACUCAUGUUGGGGUUCACUUCCUCAUUUGAUGUGGUUCCGUCGCAGUCCACUCUUGUUCAUAAAAAGUUAGAAUAAAUGACAAAGCAGAAAUAAUGAAGUUCGCUUGACCGUGUGAUGAAGUGCGGCUUUCCGUCAAAAAGGAGUGCGCUCUUCUAUCCGAUGUGAUUCACGCAUCGGUUUUUGUAACGUGAAAAACAGAGUGUCCGUGUUUCGGUAAAACCAAAACUGCUCUUCAAUAGUAAGGAAUAAGAGAGAGAGAGAGUUCUACGUAAAAAAAGAUGUGCUUCAUCGAUACCUUUCCAACGUCGUAUCAUUUGCAUCGUUCUGGCAAGCGGUUUGGAAAAAUAUAUGAAAAUAAGCUUGCUGCAACUCAUAGGCAGUCGCGCCGUUUUUAAAAUUCAUUUAAAACCGUAUGGAAUCUCAACAAGUGGUCAGUUUAUGAAAGUUGUGCUUAUUCCACUGUUUUUCAACGCUGUAUCAUACACCUUGUUCCGACAAACACUUUUAAAACUGCACCAAAAAACGUAUAGAAAAAACUAAAAAAAUUAAAAAAUAAAAUUCCGUUUUUAAAUAANNNNNNNNNNNNNNNNNNNNNNNNNNNNNNNNNNNNNNNNNNNNNNNNNNNNNNNNNNNNNNNNNNNNNNNNNNNNNNNNNNNNNNNNNNNNNNNNNNNNCUGCCUGCUUCGUCGUCGCCACGUGCGGCCUCCAGCGCCGGCCGCUUCAUCGUUGACACGCGCGGCUCUGGCACCGCCCGCUUCGUCGUAACCAUACGUGGCCGCCGGCGUCGUCUGCUUCAUCGACUUCUCCAACUUCGUUGUUAUUGAGCACACACACAACCGUCAAUGCCGUUCGUCUCGUCGUCGACUCCGGCCUCGUGUUAUCGGCUGCUCGGCGGCAACCUUCGCGGUUGAGGCUCAAGGCCGAGCCGACGCAGGCACACAACGCUCCUUCCUCCUUCACCAGUCGUCGGCAAGGGUCUCAUGAGUCGAGGCGCGCUGUGAUGACAACCUACGAAUCAGCCUUGAUCUGUAACGGGUAGCCGGUCAAUGCCUUGUAAGUGCAUGCAUUACGUGGGUCUUUUACUUGAUUAAUUCACCGCAUGCAGAAAAAUGGUAACGGAACGACGUGGCCGUUCAAUGCCUCGUAAUGGGCCUAAUGGCCUCAUUAAAUGGCUCAUAAGGUGAGGUACGAUCGCAUCAAUUUAGUAAUUGCUGCAUGCAAAACUUCCAUCACACUAUUUUCAGGAAUGGUUAAUAUUGCAUGCAUGCAAGUAUAACCAUCCGUGGUAUUUAUUCCUUGUAAAAUAGCAUCUAUUCUGGCACGUUUUGAUCCAGCAAAAUAUAUAUUCGUAGCUAUACUUGCUACUAACUUGCAGGGUCACUCGUUCGUCAUCGUCCCCGAACAACAGUUUAUUUGAACGGACUAUCUAUUCGAGUCAGACGCGUCAUCAUCACUCGGUCGCCCUGCAUGCCGUCGCUCAGUCGAAAGCAUCAUCAUCACUCGGCCGCUCUACGCGUCGUCGCUCGGUCGGACGCGCGUCGUUGCUUGGUCGGACGUGCGUUGUCAUCACUCGGCCGUCCUGCACAUCGUCGCUGAGUCAGACGUGCGCCGUCAUCAUUCGGCAGCUCCGCACAUCGCCACUCAGCCGGACGCUCCAUCGUCACCCGGACACUCCGCACGCCGUCACUCUACUGGACGCGUCGUCAUCACUCGGUAUCUCCGCACAUCGCCACUCAGCCGGACGCUCCAUCGUCACCCGGCCGCUCCGCGCGCCGUCACUCUACUGGACGCGUCGUCAUCACUCGGUAGCUCCGCGCAUCGCCACUCAGCCGGACGCGUCGUCAUCACUCGGCGGCCCUACAUGCUGUCACUCACUCGGAUGCGUCGUCAACGCUCGGCCGCCCUGCGCGCCGUCCCUCAGUGGGACCCGUCGUCAGCACUCGGUAGCUUCGCGCAUCGCCAGUCAGCAAGACACGCCAUCCUCACUCGGUUAGAGACUCCUUCGUCACUCGGCAGCUUCGUGUGCCGCCACUCGAUUGGACGCUCCUUCGUCACUCGGCAGCUUCGCGCGUCGUCACUCGGCUGGAGGCUCCUUCGUCAUCUGGUUGCUCUACGCGUCGUCACUCGGCCGCCCCGCGUGUCGCCACGCAGAUAGACGCGUAUUCAUCGCUUGACCGCCCAACAUGUCGCCACUCAGCCGGACGUGUCUACUUCGCUCGACCGCCCCACGCGUCGUCAGGCAGCUAAGUCAUUUUUCACAGACUGCAUUCUAUUAAAUAAUCGUUUCUACAUUACCGAGUGUCGAGGAAGUCGCACAUGACGUUCACUCGGAGGCCACGCCACCGAGUGUACCUAUGCACUAGGUUGUUUAUUUUUAUGUGGGAACACUUCACUUCCACUUCGUUUUGGUCCAGUACUCAAACGAGUUUAGUCGAAUGCUUCACUUGCAUAAGUACAGUCGGAUCCUGCACAAGUACAACCACGUGGCACACCCACCGGGUGUCUAUGGGUGCAAUUUACACAAACUAUUUCAGAAAAUAUCAUAUUACUUUGAUAAUUUUUUAUGUUGGCUUGUGCUAUUUUUCAUACACAGGUAACUCGACGCAUCCGUGCGCCAUCCUCGUCGCUGCUCAGGCUCAGUCGCCGCAACGAUCAUUCAUUCGUUUUCACGUGUUCGGAAGCCCUUUCAAUGACGUAGUGGACACGGCCGCCCCGCGUGCCGUCGGUGGGUCGGACGCCUCCUCGACAUACAUCACUUGGCCACCCCACGCGUUGCCACAUAGCCAGAAUCGUCUACCUCACUCGGAUGCCAUGGGCAUCGCCACUCCGUGUGGCACGUCUUCAUCAUUCGGCUGCCCUGCGCGCCACCGCUCAGCUUAGCUGCGACUCCAUAUCGCCUAAGUUAAAAACAACUCCGAGUGCGGACAUGCUCCACACUNNNNNNNNNNNNNNNNNNNNNNNNNNNNNNNNNNNNNNNNNNNNNNNNNNNNNNNNNNNNNNNNNNNNNNNNNNNNNNNNNNNNNNNNNNNNNNNNNNNNCCUAGAGGGAGAGUAGGCAAAUUUGUCAAAACGUUUAGGACAGAAACACUUGACUGUACGAAAAUCAAUAGACUGCAUUUUGGUUUCUUGCAAGCACACCACGGCAGCUAGGCUCUCAUCAAUCUUGUUACGAACCGCACGUUGUCUAUGGUCCGAAUUUAGGCCACGUACAUUCCAACACAGCACACGCCAACUUCUCGUAGAACGACUAUCCAUUGGACGAUAUAUAUAGAGCAAACGCAGGGAUAUGUAAUAGCCCUUGCAACCGAGGUUCAGUUAACCAAAAGAUAGAGCAAACAGUAGUCUGACAGUACAUGGAGCCAGUACAGCAACAAAUUAACAUAAGAGGACUAAUCAUCUGCAGAUGAAGGCGCGGGAUUAGCUGGAUCUUCCAUAAGACGAUCCACAGUCAGCUUCUCAGGGGUGAUGCCAAGCGUGUGCCCGAUCGCCUGAAUCACCGGAAUAGGAGUGGCAUGAGGAACUUGCACAUCAGCAGACUCCUGCGCUGGAAAAGGCAUUGGCUUGGCCUUGGACUUCCUCUUCUUGGGGGCAUGCACUGGUAGCUCCUGCAAAACCGGUUUGAAGCCAUCCCGCUUGAUGGAGCCGCGGGUACAUCGAUGAACAGAGGAGUCAACGACAGGAGUGGCCUUCUUACGGGUCCCUUUCUUCGUUGGAGCAGGAGAUGGAAAGGAGAAGGAGUCCUCUGCAGACAAAGAGGGGCUGACUGGGAUUACCUCAUCCAAGGAGAGUGUGUUGCUUGCUGGCUCUGGUGGUGGCAGCGCUGGGGCAGCAGUAUCGAAAGCCACCGCCCAGGAUCGCUUGGGGAUCACAAUGGGCAUCACCAUUGGCAUCUGCAGCUGGUGAGGGACAUGCAUGGAGGUAGCAGCUCCCAUGAAAGCAUCAAAAGUUCGGGACCAGGAUAGUACUGGCGGUAGAGGAGGCCCAUAAAAAACCCUGGCAGCCCCAACAAAAAGAUUGUCAGACUGAACCUGCGGGAGUUUGUACGGGACGAUCGCCAGAGGAUUGUCGUGCUACGCCUCAUCCUCCCCUUGCACAUCUUCCUCCGGCUCCGCAGCAGGGGCCUGAACAACCGGUGCCAUAUCAGCGUCACGGGCGGCAGGGUCAGCAGCCAUUACCACAUCCAGGUUGGGAGCAGGGGGAGCAAGAUCAGCAGGUUCUGCCUCAAUGUCACCCUGCGGCUGAGGGUCUAGGUCGACAUAUUGUUGGAGGGAUGCGAAUGUGAGCUUCUUACGAACUGAUGAUCCAGUUUUAAGAGAAGAUUUUAGAGGUCUGGAAUGCAUUGCCAUCAAACCUAGUGAGGCUCUCCUCUUAGAUGGACUCACAAUAAUCCAUUCAGCAUCACAUUGUUUCUUCCACAGAGGGAAUUCCCGACGCCAACCGGACCACCAUGUCCCCAUAGAUGGAAGAAGCACUUAAAAUUUGAGCAUUUGAACGAGCGCAAGUCCAAAAUAUGAAAACCAACUUGCAUGCAGGACACUUUGAAGGAGAAAACCGAAUCUGUAACUUGCGAGACGCGAAACUCAAUGGUAGAGCCCCCAAUCACAGAUUCUAGAGCUGCGGCGACCGUGUCCUCAGAGAGACGGAACACAUGACGACCAAAAGAAACCACCAUGAUGAAGGAGCGGUGGUGCUUCAUAGGGUGCACCGUAACACCAGAAUGACGAUAAACCUCAUCGGCGAAGGCCAAACCAUGAGAAAAAUCCAGAUCCAACGUGGAACCACCCAUGCAAGCCAUGCACGACCACGUGUGGGGGGUCGGGAGGGUUCACCUGAGCAGAAGAGCGGCGAGGAGGCUGGAUACGCCGGCUAGAGCACCAGAUCGCCAUGGGGUCACCGAGGUGGGAGGUGGGAGUCGCCAUCUAUUCCACAUGAAAGAAGUUACAAAGGACAAAUAUGCUCCUCAAAAGGGGUAGUUAUCCAAAGGGAUACGAAAACUUCCACCUUCAUGUGCAUUGAAUAGUUAGAGAAGUUUGAUUCAUCUCAAUUAGUUUUGAGUUGUGGAUAUGGUAAUAUUGAAGUUAUGCUAGUAAGGUGUUGUGGAUCUAGAAAUACUUGUGUUGAAGUUAGUGAUUCCUGUAGCAUGCACGUAUGGUGAACCGCUAUGUGAUGAAAUCUGAGCAUGAUUAGUCUAUUGAUUGUCAUCCUUUGCGUGGCGGUCGGGAUCGCGCGAUGGUUUAUACCUACCAACCCUUCCCCUAGGAGUAUGCGUUGAAUGCUUUUGUUUCGAUUACUAAUAAAACUUUUGCAACAAGUAUAUGAGUUCUUCAUGACUAAUGUUGAGUCCAUGGUUUAGAUGCACUUUCACCUUCCACCAUCACUACCUUCUUAGUGUCGUGCAACUUUCGCCGGUGCACAAAAACCACCAUUAGCCUCCCUCAAAACAACCACCAUACCUACCUACUAUGGCUUUUUCAAAGUCAUUACAAGAUAUAUUGCCAUGCAACUACCACCGUGACAUGUGCCAUCACGUCUACAUUGCCAUUGCAUGAUCGUAAGAUAGCUAGCAUGAUGUUUCCAUUAAUGUCUAUGCCAUGCUAGAUCAUUGCCACGGUACACUAUCGAAGGCAUUCCAUAUAGAGUCAUAGUNNNNNNNNNNNNNNNNNNNNNNNNNNNNNNNNNNNNNNNNNNNNNNNNNNNNNNNNNNNNNNNNNNNNNNNNNNNNNNNNNNNNNNNNNNNNNNNNNNNNGAGCGUUUAGAUCACUACUUUAGUGAUCUAAACGCUCUUAUAUUAGUUUACGGAGGAGGUAUGUCUUUCUUGGGGAAAAUAAGAUAAGUAUGUGGCAUAAUAGGGCUAACUAGCAUGUACGAAGCUAAGUAUGCAUUUGUUAAUAGGACUUCCAAUUUUUCAAGAAUCGCUCCCCUCUUUAGAUUCACUGCAUACCCAUCGGGGAACAUCAACUGCAUUUUGACCCACAAGAUAAUUUCCCUCAUAACUUCCCUUUUUAGAUUGAACCAGACCUUUGGCUUCGACUAGUUCUGCUUUCCUUUAUAUUGUCGCAUGUUUUGUAACGGUCUAUCAAAUAGAUUCUGCUGAUCGACUCUAGCCUUAGGAUUAUCAUUUGAUUUCUCCUCUAUGCCGAACAAUGUACCAAAUAUGGACUCUUCGAUAUUAUUUUCAGUGUGCGUCAUGUCGAUUUUGUGUGAAAGAAGGAGGUCUUUGAAGUAAGACAGAUCCCACAAGUAUGUCUUGUGAGUCGAGGCGUGUUUCGAAUUAUACCCCUUGAAAUACCCUGGAUGCUCCGGAUAGGGCUCAAGAGCGUUUAACUGAUCUAGGAUCUGUUGUCCUGUCAACGCAGGUGGUGCUGAGUUUUUGACAACUUUACCUUUGAUAAAGUUCUUCUUGUCUUUUCUGAACUGAUGGCGAGGAUCGAGGAACUGUCUUGCAAGUCAAAGAAAGAAUACUUCCGACCCACUGCAGCCAAUGAAACUGAAGACCUGCCUUGCAUGUGGGGCACGGGAACCUUCCAUGCACACACCAGCUAGCGAAUAGCGCAUACGCCGACAAGUAAUGCAUCAAGUACAUGUACCACACAUGCAUUUUGAAGUUUUCUUUUCUAGUGGCGUUGUAUGUCUUGAAUCAAUUAUCACACGCUUCUUGCAAUUCAUCCUUAAGAGGCUUCAUGUACACAUUCAUAUUCUUCCCCGCAUAGUUCGGCCCUGGAAUAUCAACGUCAGGAAUAUGUUCUUUCUUUCCAUAAUCUGUCCGGGGGGAAUCGAGUGGAAUGAAAAAUACAAACCAACUACUGUAUUGGGUUGCCGUCAUACCAAAGGGAUUGAGCCCAUACUUGUGAACACAGACUCGAGGAUGCCUUGGAUCUGCCGCUUUAUCCGGAUGUAAUGCAUCGAAGUGCUUCCACGCUUCCGCUUCCGAUGUGUGUACAAAAAUCUUAUUCCCAUCUGCAUCUAGUUCGAUUCUUUUGCCCAAUUUGUGCCAUGUCAUCUAUCUGGCCGUCUCUUCGACCAUGAAAAGACGUUGAAGUCUUGGUAUGAUUGGCAUAUACCGAAGAACAUUAACUGGGAUUUGGUCUGCCUCUUCUCACCCAUACCGUUGUCUACCACAACAUACCUGGAAGACUUGCAAAUGGGACAAUAGUUAAAAUCCACAUACUCAGGCCUAAAUAAGGUACAUCCUUUCUGACAGGCAUCUAUCUUAUCAUUGGGCAUCUUAAGUAAGCAGAGUAUUUUGUUCCACUGGUACAGGUUUAUAGGCAUGCCAUGGCCUUUGGGAAGAAAGCGUCCAAAUAGUGUCAUCAUCGCGUCAUAGCAUUCUCUGUCCAAGUUGAAUUGAGCCUUCAGAGCCAUUACUUGUGCGAUGGCAUCCAGCUGCCAAAGCUCAGUGUGCUCGUGGAGAGGAUGUUUUCAAGACUCCAACAUUUCAUAGAAGGCCUUUGCAGAUUCCUCCAUCUCAUCGUCUGAAUCCCGAGCAUCAUCAAAGUCUUGCAACAUGUCUUCGAUCCCGGUACCAUGCUCGUCGGUGCGAUGACGAACCACCUCAGCUCUGGUACGUUGGGCAGACUCACCAUGAAAUUUCCACACCGUAUAAUCAGAUGUAAACACCCUCUUCUGUAGGUGUUUACCCAUUUCAUCGAGUGUCCUCUUUUUAAAGUAGUCGCACCCAGGACAGGGGCACCAGGUUUUUCUCUCGCCAUUUGCAAAUGCGGCUUUCACAAACUCCUUGCUUUUUGUUAACCAUUCUUUGGUCAUCUCUUUCUAACUAGUGCGACCGGUGUACAUCCACACACGAUCACUCAUCUUGCCUAGCUACUAAACACACAAGAAAUAUAUAUUAAUUCAGCAUAUAUAUUCAUGAGUUAAUCAAGAUUGUCAGUUUUAUUACGUCCAUGCAACCUACACGCUAAUAGGUAAAGAUAUGUCCUAAUUCCACCCGAGUAUGUGUAGAUUGGGUUCGUUUUCCCAUGCUCUGCUCCGGAUCCGAUGCAAAAUUUCGACUGCACCUCCCCGCCCUUCUCCUGAUAUACGUCUCGACAAUAAACAGAGAGGAUGUGUACCCGGAGUACAACAGAGAGGCACUGACCAAAUUAUGCAUCGGAUUCGGAGUAGAGCAUAUGGGAAAAUGAAUCCAAUCUAUAGAUACUCGAGUUGUCCAUGGAUAACGUUGGACAAUUUGAAAGAAUCAUGGUUAUAAAUACAUGCAAAUGCAUGCAUAUUUAUAAUUGUAACCCUUUCGAAUGGGAGACGCAUACUGGUCACGCAGACUAAUGAUGUCAUUUUUGCUAACCCAUGAACGCAGGGGCGGAGCUCGUUGAAAGCAUGGGGAGGUCGUUGAACACUAGACCCUCGCAGUGACGAAACAAUUGUACAUUUAAAUCCACCCAAUCAACACAAAUAUGAUGUUUUUAUAACAAAAUCAGAAAAUAAAUGGCCUAACUCAUAAUUUACAAAACUAUGACCCCGUCGGCAUCUGGAAGGCCGAAGAGCACCUUUAUGGUCAACAGGAAUCCGAAGAGGAGUCGGGGGUUGGGGUGAGUGGCGUCGGGAGCGACGUAUUAACAGCUCCACGGGGGAUUGGAAUGUCGAUCUAUCAGUGGCAUCUUCCCAUCACCACAUGUAGGCGCAGGUGCCUAGNNNNNNNNNNNNNNNNNNNNNNNNNNNNNNNNNNNNNNNNNNNNNNNNNNNNNNNNNNNNNNNNNNNNNNNNNNNNNNNNNNNNNNNNNNNNNNNNNNNNCAUAGGUAAUACCUACCAUAUGUACCCACAAAGUGAAUACCGCAACAAGAAUCAACAUUGCCAUUACCUUGUUUGGAGGUAAAUCAACCAGAUAGGUGGUAGUUUCCCUCCUAUCAUCUUAGAUAUGGAGGGAAAAAUCAUGGAUCAAGAAAUGGGGAUUAUGCGGAAACAAAGCAAUAUGUUGGAAAUGUGACUGCCUAAUCUCCAUUUUCUGUGACUACCUUUUUUAUGAAGUACAUUUCCAUUUGCCGAAACAAAUUUGUGAACAUAUCAGAUCAAAACUUGAUUGAUUCUGUGACUGCCCUUUUUAUGAAGUACAUUUGCAUUUGCAUCCUUCUUUAUCUUCUAGAACAAAUAAGGCGGGAGUUAACACAAAAUUAUAUGCUACAACCAUGUUAUCUGGCUUCUAGUGGAGGCCUGGAUGAACAGUAUGAAGAGAUUAAGUUUUCUUCUUAAAACUGCCUGACUCUACGAACUCUUCCUGUAGAAAUGACCAGAGCAGUUCAAUAUAUUUGAUAUCCAACAGUUGUAAUGCUGAAUAUUAAAUAAAUGUUUGUACAUGGUUGAUAGUGCGACCAAGUAAUUUAAGGAUAAGCCAAGUAACUUGACAAUUUUGUUCACAUCAAAAGCUAUCUAUAUACUACUAUAUAUUUGAUAUUGUUGUGCUCAUAGACUUUUGUUCAAAUUAUUUACAGAGGAAGACGACGAUUAGCUAUUCAAAUUUGUUUGGCGACAACCGGGCUUUCUGCAGUUUGCAUUGGUCAGAGAACAUCCAUGUGUAGUUUCUGUAUGAAGACUGUCUCGCGUUUCAUCUGCGGUAGUGUAAUAAACUGAUGUUUUACUAUGCUCGGGUUGUCCGGGAGACCAUUUACGGUACUUGAAUCUGAUUGAUUACCCUCUCUAAAGCAUUUUUAUUCAAGUUCAAAUGAUGACAUCAUCCAUACCCUCUUUUGAUUGUGCAAAGCAAAUGAUCAACUUAUCUACCUACCUCAUUCUUUUUGGUGUCGCUGCUAGGCAGGACGUUCUUGAGGGAUCUCAAUGAUGACUGGCAAAUUUUGUUUUUGAACUAUUUUUAUUUCUUAGAAAUUUGCAUCGCUUGUACGCAC